rnacentral:lncRNA from 1 species
UGGAUGCGUUACCUGUAACUUCAGCUGGCGAGCGUGAGGAUGCUGCCGUGGGCGAGGGCGCACCUGAGCCCCAUAGGCCAGGCGCUCAUCAUCUCCACCGUCGCUGGGAUGGCCUACUUCAUCGUCGCCGACAAGACCAUCCUCUCCAUGGCCAGGAAGCACUCCUUCGACGACGCGCCAGACCACCUCAAGAACACCUCCUUCCACUAAUUAGCCCACAAUAGAUCCAUUAGUGGCGCGCAAUAAGAUACUCCCUCUGUCCGGAAAUACUUGUCAAAAAAAUGAAUGUAUCUAGUCGUAUUUUAGUUUUAGAUACAUUCAUUUUUACCCGUUUUCGUGACAAGUAUAUUCGGACGGAGGGAGUACUACUAUUACUAGUAGUAUAAUGUUCAACAAUUAUGUGACAUCACGCGAGGCUUGCAGACAGCGAGUGCUGUACUGCGCUGCUCUGCGUGUAGAAGCACUAAUCUCAUGUAUCCGUGUAUCCAGCCAGUAAUCUUGAAUUAAUAAUAACCUGCAUUUGUACAACUCGGGUUGGCCAUACCAUCACACGACUUACAUUUUCUUGUUUGUGACUGUCAUUUGACAUGCGGCGGUCGCUCUGUGGCAGAGCAUGCACAAGACCGAAAUAACACUACUACUACAUUCUUUGAUCCUCUAUUCCUCCCCUGUUCCGCGAUGCACGCCAGGAUCAUGUCACCUCACUUGUUUAAAAUCUUUUGAUGGGUUUUAAAAGAUGGGGUGACAAAUGAAGGAAGGUUUAUUAAUAAAGGAACAAAAGGAAAUAAUUAUUAUAGGAUAACUAGUCGUACAUUUAUCCUCAUUGAAAAAAUAGUCGUACGUUUUGAAACGCCACUCAUGUACUAGCGGAGUCCCGCCUUUGACUUAGAGAGGUAUUUCUUGCUAGAGAUAAGGACCUGUAUCAGUUUGCACGAUGGUUCAGCUGUAAUUUCUCUCAUAAAUCGGAUACAAAUGAGGGCCCUUUGCGGGCAUCCAAACAACACCUACGAUCGUUUCUGAUCAUGUUGGCACACCCAAACUCCGUCCUAUCUCGCCAAACGGGGGCCCUUCGCGGGUAUCCAGACAACACCCACGACCGCUUCUGAUCAUGUUGGCACACCCAAACUCCGUCCUACCUCGCCUGCACACUUUCUCGCUCGGCGCUAUCUGUCCACAUUCAUGUCGCUGUAGAACGGCCGCUUCACAUUGAAGCCGACCCAGAGCGAACACGACCUCUCACUGCCUCCGCAACUGAAAUGGCGCGCCGGCCGAGGGCGUCGCCCGCUGCCCGUCCGGCUGAAUACGCCUCCUCACUGCAUUCAAACGGCUGCAAACUGCUCGCCUUCCUCCAUUAAACUCGUGCAUGUGCUAAGAUAUCUACUCUUGCUGGAUCAAGAAGGAGAGGACGCCGCCAAGCCGUACGUGUGCUAAACUCAGAGGUGCCGCACGUGUGGUACGUGUGCUAAAGGAAAACCACGUGGCAUGAGCCAGCUCCAGGGGCCUGGAGCCCUUUAGUACCGGUUGGUAAGACCAACCGGUACUAUAAGGUUUGGUUUUUUUUUAGUUUUAUGAUUUCUUUUUCAUUUUAUUUUGUGUUUCCAUUUUAAUUCUUUUUCUUUUGCUGGUAUUUUACGAUAUAUAGAAUUUCUAGUAGAACCAAUCAUGCAUAUAUAUAUCAUCAAUGUCUCACAAACCAUCAUAUUAAUUAAUUCACACAUACACACAUGUAUAGCUAUAUACAAUUUCUCCUACAUAUGCAUGUUGCCUUCGGAGCCAGUGGCAUUAGCCUAAUUGGUGCCUUCGGAGCACGAUGACAAUUGGAAGUGGUUUUCAUGGGGGCGGUAGCAGGUAAUAGUAUUCUCCCUUUGGAUUUAUGACCUGGUCGAGCAAAAAUCCCGCUAUUUCCUCUUGAAGUGCUUCUACGCGCUCCAUUUCUAAGAGCUUCUCCCGCACCUUUCUGAACUGUUAAGAAGGAGAUCAAUAUGCAUGUGUAUUAGUUGUGUGACUAGAUAUCGAUAAUGGUGUAAAAAUUGUGAAUAGUGUUUUGACAAGCGUACCCAUUCCUGUCUUUGAGAUCUGCUCCUUUCGGAUGCCAUCAUGUGAAUGUUCUCGCAAACGCAGAAUGCACACAGAUCAGUCCCCUGCGCCUGCUUCAGGGCCUUUACGAGAAUGGAAUUUGAUCAGAUAAUAAUUAAUCAAGCAUGAUAAUUAAAGAGAUGGCAGCUAACUAGCUAGCUAGUACUACUUAAUUACUUACCUUGGAUCUUCCCCAUUUAAGCUUUUCUUUCCAUUCGCCUUCCGUGACGCUGAUGAACCUUGCCCAAGCCAUGCCCGCCGACAAAGAAAAUAAAUAAAGGGGUUAUUAAAUAGUUCAUAUCAUGAAAUGACAAACUAAAUAGGCCGAGAUAUAUAGUUAAUAAUGAUUGAAAUUACCUGUUGACUAUCCCAAACAAGAUGUUAUAGUCAGUUUUUUCUUUGAGUAGUGAGUCCAGUAUUUCAACUGUUCGGCGUCAACUUUAAUGAUACACAAGACCCAGUGAUAUCUGCAUGCACACACGUUUGCAUGUCUUAAUUAAGCGGGCAUAUGUAAGAAAAAAUAUGUAGCUAGCUAGUAGGCAAAAACAGAAAAUUUGUAGUACAAGACAGUGUGACUCACUGGAAGUUGUAAGGAAGUAGUAUAUCUUCAUUGUAUUUGAGGCGCUUCAAGAACUCUAGCAUGCUGUCCUCUACGGCCUUUUGAUGACGUGCAUCUAUUUUCCAUGUGUAUUUAUUAACGGUGUUUGGGUCAAUGAACCCAAUGCCAUAGCGUCCACCUUUUCUCAUUUCAUACAUCUUUAUCCUGCAUAUAAUACCACAGAAAAGAAUAUAGUGAGGAUAAUUACAGGUAAUGAUUGAUCAAAAGGAUCACUACAGCUAGCUUGAGACUUAAAUUACAGAAAGAAAUCACUUACAGACAAUAGCAACUGACGAUAGAUUUGUCGAGUGCGUCUUGAUUGUAUAACUGAAACAGUUCAGAAUACUCAACGGACACAGCUUUCUCAUGGUAGUAAUGCUCCUCCUUGACAUUCACCAUGAGGGACAAUCGAUCGGAAAUCUUGGUAAUGUUCAUGUACCAUUGAUGCAAUUCAUACAUUCUCGUUGGGAGGUUCUUGACCUUGUCUGGCUCGACCAAAGGUUGGCCCCGGACAUAUUUCCGUUUUAUUUCAUCCUCUCUAAGCACAGGCAUGGGCUCGAUCUCGAGGAGUUGUCCAACAGCGAUUUUGAGAACUUCAGCCUGCAGUAUAUGCUCCUCCGUUAUUACCACAUUGCCCACCUUAGGAACGUAAACUGUUUGCCCACAAUAAUAUUGGGCGCGCGUACUGUCACGUGUUGUUGGCACAACAAGCAAGGGGAUCGAUUGCGCCGCCUGUUCUCCCAGCUGGGGAAUGGUUUUCCCGCAUUUUUUGACAACUGCUUCUUGUUUGCUCGAUCCCGAGCUCGCCUCCUUACGUAGACGUGCUCGAUUUAACUUCCUGAUGUGACGCUCAUAGUCUGUGUCAACAGGCUUGGGAGCUGGUGGUUAAGCCAUACGAAUGAAGUGGUCAACCGUUUCCUCAGGCACUUUCUCCCUUGGCGGCGAUGGCGGUUUCGGUGCAAAAUGGGCUUCCACCUCGGACUUCGAUAUGGCUGCGAUUUCCUCCUCGGACCUGUCAUAAGCCCUCUGCGGAAGAGGCGUGAGGCUUGGACCAUAUUUAUAUCGCUUGCCUCCGCCUGUACUUCCUGUACUACCUCGACUCGUACCGCUACGCACCAUAGCUGCGGGGUGUCUCUUCUGUGAUUGUUGAGGCGGCGGAGACGGCUGACGGGGCUGAGUUGGACGAGGAGGAGUGGCCGCCUGAAGCUGUGCCGGACUUGGAGGAGGAGUGGCCUGAGGUUGUGCCGGACUUGGAGGAGGAGUGGACGUCUGACGCUGUAGCGGACUUGGAGGAGGAGGAGUGGCCUGACACUUUGCCGGACUUGGAGGAGGAGUGGCCUGACACUUUGCCGGACUAGGUGGACUUGCAGGAGCGGUAGACUGCUGACUCGGUGGCGGACUUCGAUGAGGAGUCGGCUGACGCGGUGUCGGUGGCCUUCGAAAGAUGAUGCAAUCCUUUUUCCAUAGGAUGAUACGAUGUUUGGCAUCUCCGAGAAAGUGCUCGUCGUCACCUCUAGGAUAGUCAAGCUCUAGCUCCGAAUAUGGGUCCACCACCUCAUCAACCAAGACACGAGCAUAGCCCGCUGGAAUCGGGUUGCAAUGGAAGGUUGCCUUGGGGGGAUUUGUAAAAGCAAUGGCAUCCGCCACCUUCAUGGAUAUGUUCUUCAUUUUGACGUGUAGCUCGUAGCUAGUGUUCUCCAUGAUGUCAUCCACGGGGUAUCUACCCAGCAUUGCGUCAUCUGGGGCGGAACCCACGCUGCUUCUCGGCAUGGAUGGGGCAGUGCUAUCCAAUGCUGGAUCAUUCGCUAGCUGCUGCAGCUGCUGAGACCCCCUUUGCUGGGUAAGUGAGUCGAUCUGCUCCUGCUACCGCUGGAAUUUGACUACCAAUUCUGCUUGACUUGCUUCUAGGCCUUGAAGGCGUUCAUAGUCCCGCUUCCUCUGCUCCUCCUCCAUCUUCCUCUUCUUCUCCUCCGCAAUCUUCUUUCUCGCACGGGUUCUGUAGUCGGUGUUCCAGUCUGAAAACCCCUCAUACCAUGGAAUAGCGCCCUUGUCUCGUGUUCUUCCCGGGUGUUCAGGAUUUCCCAGGGCACGCGUAAGCUCGUCGUUCUCUCUAUUGGGCUGGAACACCCCCGAUCGUGCCUCUUCUAUUGCAACAAGUAUCGCAUCGUCGGCUCCCUUCAGACUUGCCCUCGUCGAAACAUUGCCUGUCUUCGGGUCCAACUCCCCCCCAUGCGCAUAGAACCAAGUCCUGACCCUGGGGGGCCAGCUCUUAGUAACCGGAGUGGCACCUGCAUCCUCCAUCUCUUUCUCAGACUUAUCCCACUUAGGCAUUGCCACCGCAUAGCCACCUGGCCCCAGCUUAUGGAACUUAUCCUUUUUUUCGGCAUUCUUCUUGUUUAUUCUCGACCGUUCCUUAGCUAAUUCCGAAUCCUUGAAUUUCACGAAAUCGUCCCAAUGAGCACGUUGGUUCUCUAGUGUUCCCUCGAAUACUGGAGUCUUCCUUCCUCCCUUGACGUACUUGUCCCAUUCACGAUUCUUGUGGUUCUUGAAUGCAACCGCCAUCUUCCUAAGAGCAGCGUCCUUGACUUUCUGCACAUCUGCUUCUGUGAAAUGAUCUGGUAGGGUGAAAUGUUCCAUGAGAGUAUCCCAAAGCAGAUCUUUUUGAUUCUUGUCGACAAAAGUAAAAUAUGGACGUGGAGCAGCAUUCUCUUUGCCUUUUUGUCUUUUGUCUUUUGCUGGCUCUCUCCAUUCUUGAAGGGAGAUCGGGAGUUGGUCCUUCACAAGAACUCCGUACUGACGAAUGAACUUGUCCGCAAUCUUCUUAGGCGCUAAUGGUUCGCCAUUAGGUCUGACUGCCUCGAUAUUAUACUUUACGCCCUCCUUCAACUUUUUGUUCGGGCCUUGUUUCGUCCUUUUGCCUGAAGAUUUGCUCGACCCGGAUGGCUGAAAGAACAAAGAUCGAUUCGUUAAUAUAUCUUCAAGUCAUUUAAAACAUGUGAUGAUCACCAGAUACCUGCUUAUAUAAAUAUAUAUACCUCGCCGGUCUUUGUUGUUUCAGGAUCAACAUGUUCUUCGUCAUCGUCAUAAUCGUAGUUCAUGACUUCAUCAAUUCGGUCGUCGCGAUCGAAUAUCAUAUCACCCUCUCCGGUGUUGUUUAGAAAUUCAGAGCCGUCAUAAUCUUCUUCAUUCUGAUCAUCAUCUGGCCCGCGUAUCAUAUCGAACAUGGUUUGUUCUCCCUCUCUGUCGGUAUUGUCUGCCAUAGCUUUUAUUUAACUAAUUCAAAAGAAAUAUAAAACAAUUUAGUAUUCAAAUUACAUCGUCUCGAAUAAUAGAUAUAAUCUCGAAUAUUUCGUCUAGAAUAAUAGAUAUAAUAUCAAAUACAUCGUCUCGAAUAAUAUAUAAUAUUAAAUAGUACAUCACUGGCUAGCUAAUUAAAGAUCGAAUACUACAGAAGAAUUUAGGACACUCGUGGUUCCUGCGGCGCGGGCGGUGGACACCCAAAGAGAAGGAACCCUCACAGGAUCAUAGCUGAAGUGAGAUCCCCGAAGAUACUGCCAGGUAUUGGAGAACCUGCCGCCCUCUAACGCAACCAUGUAGCGAUGGACAUGCUCGUCCUCCUCCCUGACACGGCGACGUACCACCUCCGGCGGGGCCGGGUCCCUCCGCACCGAAACUGGCCCACGCGAACGCCACCAAACGAGAUCAGGGUCGACGACGGGACCCGGGGCCGGGUUCCUCAUCAAGCGGCGCGCCCCUCCAGGCAGCACCUCCCAGUGCCAGCCCGGCGGAGCCCAGUCCCGGACAUGGGUCGGCUGGACGUCGUCGCGGACGGGUCGACGGCGAGGAUGCGGGCCGGGCAUCGUCGAGAACAAAUACUAGCUAUAUGCCUGCAAAAAGUAAUAAUUUUUUAAUGAUUGGAUUUUGAUAACUAAAAUUUCUAACAUUUCUACUAUUUCAAAAAUCUAUAUACUAUUUCAUACUAAUUAAGCAUCUAACACUAAAAAUAGAAAACACAACUUCUAUACAUCCAUUAUAAAACUGAAAAACAACAUUAUAUAAAAAAUUUCCAUACUAAUUAAACACUAAUUAUAUCCAUCUAACAUGCAUUCAUACAUAUAUAAUAGUGAAAAAAUAAUAAUCUAAACUAAUUAAGCAUACAAAAUACGUAUAUACUAAUUAAACACUAAAUAAUCUAAACUAAUUAAACAUACAAAAUACAUAUGUACGUGUGUGUGUGUGUGUGUGUGUGUUCAUGCAUGCUUGUGUGUGUGUGUAUGGGCUCGGGGAGGGGCGGCGCCCAUGGUGGCCGCCGNNNNNNNNNNNNNNNNNNNNNNNNNNNNNNNNNNNNNNNNNNNNNNNNNNNNNNNNNNNNNNNNNNNNNNNNNNNNNNNNNNNNNNNNNNNNNNNNNNNNNNNNNNNNNNNNNNNNNNNNNNNNNNNNNNNNNNNNNNNNNNNNNNNNNNNNNNNNNNNNNNNNNNNNNNNNNNNNNNNNNNNNNNNNNNNNNNNNNNNNNNNNNNNNNNNNNNNNNNNNNNNNNNNNNNNNNNNNNNNNNNNNNNNNNNNNNNNNNNNNNNNNNNNNNNNNNNNNNNNNNNNNNNNNNNNNNNNNNNNNNNNNNNNNNNNNNNNNNNNNNNNNNNNNNNNNNNNNNNNNNNNNNNNNNNNNNNNNNNNNNNNNNNNNNNNNNNNNNNNNNNNNNNNNNNNNNNNNNNNNNNNNNNNNNNNNNNNNNNNNNNNNNNNNNNNNNNNNNNNNNNNNNNNNNNNNNNNNNNNNNNNNNNNNNNNNNNNNNNNNNNNNNNNNNNNNNNNNNNNNNNNNNNNNNNNNNNNNNNNNNNNNNNNNNNNNNNNNNNNNNNNNNNNNNNNNNNNNNNNNNNNNNNNNNNNNNNNNNNNNNNNNNNNNNNNNNNNNNNNNNNNNNNNNNNNNNNNNNNNNNNNNNNNNNNNNNNNNNNNNNNNNNNNNNNNNNNNNNNNNNNNNNNNNNNNNNNNNNNNNNNNNNNNNNNNNNNNNNNNNNNNNNNNNNNNNNNNNNNNNNNNNNNNNNNNNNNNNNNNNNNNNNNNNNNNNNNNNNNNNNNNNNNNNNNNNNNNNNNNNNNNNNNNNNNNNNNNNNNNNNNNNNNNNNNNNNNNNNNNNNNNNNNNNNNNNNNNNNNNNNNNNNNNNNNNNNNNNNNNNNNNCCGGUACUAAAGGGGUCGCGCUGCCACCCCAAAGUUUAGUCCCACCUCGCCGGGCGAAGGGCAGCCGCACUGGUUUAUAAACCCAGCCACGGCUAGAACUUCGAACUCCUCUAUAUAGCUAGCAGGCUUGUGGGCCUAAACUCUGCGCGCUGCCCUGUGAGUCUGCUGGGCCUUUAAGGCCUGUAAUUACACACCUGUGGCCUAUCAGGCCCACAGGGCAGCACCCCAAUUUUUUGUCUGUCGGUAUCAUCCAAACAGUGCGUGCAUCCGUGGUAUCCCUUGUUUGUCUGUCCUGAAAGGUUACUGAGAGCAGGCCAAUCAUUGAUGGUCACGAACAGCAAUGCCUUUAAGUCAAAUUCUUCCUGUUUGUGCUAAUCCCAUGCACGUACACCUGUUCCAUUCCACAGUUGUAAGAGUUCUUCAACUAAUGGCCUUAGGUACACAUCAAUAUCGUUGCCGGGUUGUUUAGGGCCUUGGAUGAGCACUGGCAUCAUAAUGAACUUCCGCUUCAUGCACAACCAAGGAGGAAGGUUAUACAAACAUAGAGUCACAGGCCAGGUGCUAUGGUUGCUGCUCUGCUCCCCAAAAGGAUUAAUGCCAUCUACGCUUAGACCAAACCAUACGCUUCUUGCGUCAUCUACAAACUCCUUCCCGUACUUUCUUUCGAUUUUUCUCCACUGCGACCCGUCAGCGGCUACUCUCAACUUUCCGUCUUCCUUACGGUCUCCUCUGUGCCAUCGCAUCACCUUGGCAUGCUCUUUGUUUUGGAACAAACGUUUCAACCGUGGUAUUAUAGGAGAAUAUCACAUCACCUUGGCAGGAAUCUUCUUCCUGGGGCGCUCGCCCUCGACAUCACCAUGCUCAUCGCGGCUGAUCUUAUAGCGCAAUGCACCACAUACCGGGCAAGCGUUCAAAUCCUCGUACUCACCGCGGUAGAGGAUGCAAUCAUUAGGGCAUGCAUGUAUCUUCUGCACCUCUAACCCUAGAGGGCAGACAACCUUCUUUGCUUCGUACGUACUCUCGGGCAAUUUGUUGUCCUUUGGAAGCAUAUCCUUUAUCAUUACCAGCAACUUUCCAAAUCCCUUGUCAGAUACACCAUUCUCUGCCUUCCAUUGCAGCAAUUCUAGUGUGGUGCCCAGCUUUUUCUUGUCACCUACGCAAUUCGGGUACAACAAUUUUUUGUGAUUCUCUAACAUGCGCUGCAACUUCUUCUUCUCCAAAUCACUUGCGCAGUUUCUCUUUGCAUCGGCAAUGGCCCGACCUAGAUCAUCAACGGGCUCAUCUGAUGCCUCUUCUUCAUCUUCUUCCCGCAUUGCCGGCUCAGCUUCUUCCCGCAUUACCAGCUCAGCUUCUUCCCCCAUUGUUGUAUCAUCGUAUUCAGGGAACCCAUGGCCAGGAUAGCUGUCGUCGUCCUCUUCUUCUUCAUUGUCUUCCAUCAUAACCCCUCUUUCUCCGUGCUUGGUCCAAACAUUAUAGUGGGGCAUGAAACCGGACUCAAACAGGUGGACGUGAAUGGUUCUUGACGUAGAGUAAUUGCGACCAUUCUUACAGCCAGCACAUGGACAAGGCAUAAAACCACCCGCCCGCUUGUUUGCCUCAGCCGCAAGCAGAAAAGUAUGCACGCCCUCAACGAACUGGGGAGAGCAUCGGUCAUCGUACAUCCAUUGCCGGCUCAUCUUCAUUACACAACACCGAAUAGACCAAAUUAAUACAAGUUCAUACAACACUUAAAUGCAACAAACAAAUAACUCUCUAGCUAAAGCAUUUAAAUGCAACAACAAAUGCGAUCAAGAUCGCAACUAAGGUAACAAUUGAUCCAACAGCAUAAUGAUACCAAGCCUCACUAUCAAUGGCAUAUUUUCUAAUCUUUCUAAUCUUCAAGCGCAUUUUCUCCUUCUUGAUCUUGUGAUCAUCGACGACAUCGGCAACAUGCAACUCCAAUUCCAUCUUCUCCCAUCAAUUCUUUUCAAUUUUUCUUUCAAGUACUCGUUUUCUCUUUCAACUAAAUUUAACCUCUCGACAAUAGGGUCGGUUGGAACUUCCGGUUCACAUACUUCCUAGAUAAAAAUAUCUAUGUCAACUUGAUGGGCAUAAUUUGUCAUAAACACGAAAUGCAACAAAUAGUUUUAAAAGAGAAUAUACCACAUCCGAAUCAUAACAAGGACGAGGGCCGACGGGGACGGAUAUCAAAACCAUGGCACUAUGUAUAACAAAUAACAUACGGGUAAGAUAAUUAUUAUACGAGUAACUAUAUAUCCAAAUCACACAAACAUCAAUUUUUUAUAGAAAAUUUCAUGAACAAGAGGCUCACCACAAGGUGGUGCCGGCGACGGGACGGUGCGGGCGAUCGAUGGUGGUUACGACGGAGAUUUAGAAGGCACUAAGUAAACCACACCUACAUAUGCAAAAUAAGUGUUAUUUUAACCUCAAAUUGCAUAUAAAUCAAAUACUAGCACAUAUAUAUAUUUCCUCCCAAAUUACUAAACUCACAAAUUAAUAACUAUAUAAAGCAUUGCAAGAUCUAAUCUAGCAAUGAGAGAUGAAAGGACAAAGUUGCUAACCUUUGUGAUCAUUUGAAUGGAUGGGGGGCUUCAAAUCUUAACAAUUUUUGGGCAAAAUGUGUGAUAAGCUCGAGAGGAAAAGGGGAAGAACAGAGAGGAGAGGGGAAAGGGAAAGAACAGAGCGAGCUCGGGUGGAUGAAGGAUUUAUGUAGGACGACCUUUAGUACCGGUUCGUGCCAAGAACCGGUACUAAAGGUGCUGGAGGGGGCCCAGACUGACAACAUCCUGCCACCACUCUCAUUAGUACCGGUUCGUGGCACGAACCGGUGCUAAAGGUUAGCCACGAACCGGUACUAAUGAGAGCGGCCCGGCUAGCCGUUGGAACCGGCACUAAUGUAUACAUUUGUGCCGGCUCAAAUACAAACCGGCACUAAUGUGCUUCACGUUUGACCCUUUUUCUACUAGUGUUCGUAGGAUUUUUUUUUUUUGAUUUUCAUGCUUCGUUCCCCAUCACAAGAACGCUCGCCCGAGACUCCGUGCUCAUUGUGUCAGACACGGCGCCGCAGUCACUGUCCACCGUAAUCGUGAGGCACAAUGUAACUGUGUGUGUUAAGUGUACGGGUUAGCUCUUAAUCAUAUCCUGCGUAAACAAUCAAACACCGUGUGGCUGCGUUAGCCGAGCCAAUGCAGUUAACCAAACGCCAUGCUAAAAAUUUCUCUCCUAAGAGCAUCUACAGCAGGACCUCUCAAACACGCCUAAUACGCCCGGGCGGGCUGCCCGAUCGCUGUCCGGUCAUGUUUUUUCGACCCAGACAGACUCCUCAAAUGGGUCUCAAAAGCCCGGGCUGACCGACACCCCCAUAUCCAGCCCAAAUAUGGGGCGGAUAUGGGGGCGCCCGGGCACACCCGCCACGUCGGACCCGACCCAUGCUGACCCACCCGACCCCACUUAUAUUCGCCCUCAUCCGCUCAUCAGAGCAAACCCUAGAUACUUCACUCCACUCCACUCCCUUCCCCUCCCCUCAGCCACCUGAACUCGUCUCCAGCAUGGCAGGCAGCGGAUCGGACUCUGACCAGUCCGGAUCCGUCGACUGGGGUGUCAUCCCGUAUGGGUUGGAGGAGGCAAUGACAGUCCGCAUUGCACUCCGCCGCUACCGGGAGGACAACGCCCGGUGGACGGACAGAUCCGUCCGCCGCGACGCCAUAGCGUUGGCUCAUCGGGCACUGGGGUCCUCUGGUGCUGCAUCCUCGCGGUCCUGGUAGCCGGAACACCUCUCUUCCCUAUCACCUGUCAGGCAGACUAUGAGUCCCACCAGGUACGGGCGGCCUGCCGUAGGAACUAGAGGAUAAGGGCCGGCGAGGCCUGUAUCACGGCGGAAACGGCGGCAGCUGAUGCGGCGGUGCGGGCGGCCGCAGAGGAGGAAACCAUCUGCGCUCGCAUUGUGCAAAAACGGCAGCGGAGGAACACGCGCGCCCUCGCCCGGGAGCAGAAUCAGGCGGUCCGUGCCAUGGCUGGACUGCCAACGAAGGGGGACAACGACGGCGAGGACAGCUCCGGCGACGAGCAGAUCCGGCUCAAUCUGUACUGCGUCUUCGACCGAUACUUCCGCAAGAAGGACGGCAAGGGCGCCGGGAAGGGCAAGGGCAGCCGUGGAUGAAUUCCAUCGUAGCCAAACAUGCCAAAUUUUGGUAGCCCGAUGGCAUGUUUUGUGUAGUGUGAUGAAGUAGGCGGACAAUGGGUGUGCAUCGACGUAAUUGCAUGAGUUUGUAUGGAUUUGAGAUAUGGUAAUUAAGAUGUCUGGAUAUGAAUUGCAUUUUUUAAGGAGUGACCGAUCAGUACCCGCGGACACAUUCGGGCGCGUCAGCGGGCGUUUGAGGGGCCGUAUGUGCCAAGUCCCGUUGUAGAUGCCCCUUAUCCCCGCUUUUCCCUCUUUCUUUCUCUUGAUCGGUUGGUGGCGAAAUGUCCGAAGGUGCGAACCUACCACUAGUAGUUUCCCGGCAGGGAACGACGCCGGCGGAAGUAGCGAACCGCUCGCGGAGUUUGCCGGGUUUUGCUGGCGGAAAACUGGGAGCGCCAAAACGGAGGGCACACCGCACUCCUCUCGCGCACAUGCUGCUCCUGGUCUAGUGUUAUCCUACGCACGCUCCCUGCCCUGCCAACCCAGAUCGAUCGAUGACUCCUCUUAUCCAGUUGCAGUUGCGUGGAGUGCACGUGAGAUGGUUUUUGUAUGACCAACGAGGCACGGGCGGCGCCACCUGUGCUCUGCCGCAGCGCCGACCGACCCCGCCCGCCCGCCCGCCGGUAUCGCCAGCUCGCCUGAACCACCGCCCAGAACCACGGUCUCGCUUCCCUUCCCACCGUAUCAAAUCGUCUUCUUGCGCGCACGCCGGUUGCCGGUUUCCUGCAGCCUAUAUAAAUCCGGCCACAACACAUUUCCUAUCCAUCUCUUCUCACACUGUCACAGUCACACUACUACUGCUCAUACUUCACUGCUUCUACCAGUUCACAUCAUUCGGAUCUCAGGCCAAGAUGUCGACGGUAAACCGCGCCGACCUCGACCAGAGGCUCGCCGCCGCCAACCGCUGCUCCAGAGGUAACAAAAUCGCUAUCUUGCUCCGCCGGUCCUCCAAGGCACAUUGCAGCUUUCUGUACUGUCUCUGCUGAAACUUGAUCCUAACUACUAUGUCUCUGUUGAUCCGGAACUGCAGAGGCUGCCAUGGCGGGAGCCAAGGCUGCCGCCGUCGCCACCGUCGCUGCCGCAGUCCCCACCGUGAGUACUUCCACUGAAACACAACCAUUCACCCUGCACCAUAAGUACAUUUAUUUAUCUCAUCCGUGCGAUUUUUGUUGCCUUUCUCCGCAGCUGGCGAGCGUGAGGAUGCUGCCGUGGGCAAAGGCGCACCUGAACCCUACCGGGCAGGCCCUGAUCAUCUCCACCGUCGCCGGAAUGGCCUACUUCAUCGUCGCCGACAAGACCAUCGUUUCCAUGGCCAGGAAGCACUCCUACGAGGACGCGCCGGACCACCUCAAGAACACCUCCUUCAACUAGUUAGACAGUAGAUCCAUUAGUAGUAAAUAGUGCGAAAUAAACUGCACGCCGGCCUGCAACUACAAGUGUCUGCGGAUUCAACUAGGGAGGCGAUCAGGCGAGGCUUGCAGGCCUACUGCUCUUCUCUGCGUGCGAGAACUUAUCUGAUGAAGUAAUCAUCAUGUAUCCAGCCAGUCAUCUUGAAUUAAUAAUAACUUGCAUUUGUACAACUCAGGUUUACCCAUCAUCACCCAUCUUACAUUUUCUUGUUUGUGGUUAUCAUUUGACAUGUGCCAGUGUCAGAGCAUGCAGAACACUGAAGUAAGGCCAACUCCACCGCGUGACCCAUCUGUGACCCAUCCGGACGUCCGAUUUUGUCCGUAUGGGUAGCGAAAAAGCGGACGUCCGGCCCCCGGACAGUGCUCGAACGCAUCCGCGCCCAGCGCGUCCAGGACCCAAACAUGUCCGUCCCGCCCAGCUUCGUCGCCUCCUCCUGCAGGACCAGCCCGCGCCCUGGUGGCCGGCGCCGCACGCACCCCGCCCGGCCUGCGCCCCGGGGGCUGGCGCCGCNNNNNNNNNNNNNNNNNNNNNNNNNNNNNNNNNNNNNNNNNNNNNNNNNNNNNNNNNNNNNNNNNNNNNNNNNNNNNNNNNNNNNNNNNNNNNNNNNNNNNNNNNNNNNNNNNNNNNNNNNNNNNNNNNNNNNNNNNNNNNNNNNNNNNNNNNNNNNNNNNNNNNNNNNNNNNNNNNNNNNNNNNNNNNNNNNNNNNNNNNNNNNNNNNNNNNNNNNNNNNNNNNNNNNNNNNNNNNNNNNNNNNNNNNNNNNNNNNNNNNNNNNNNNNNNNNNNNNNNNNNNNNNNNNNNNNNNNNNNNNNNNNNNNNNNNNNNNNNNNNNNNNNNNNNNNNNNNNNNNNNNNNNNNNNNNNNNNNNNNNNNNNNNNNNNNNNNNNNNNNNNNNNNNNNNNNNNNNNNNNNNNNNNNNNNNNNNNNNNNNNNNNNNNNNNNNNNNNNNNNNNNNNNNNNNNNNNNNNNNNNNNNNNNNNNNNNNNNNNNNNNNNNNNNNNNNNNNNNNNNNNNNNNNNNNNNNNNNNNNNNNNNNNNNNNNNNNNNNNNNNNNNNNNNNNNNNNNNNNNNNNNNNNNNNNNNNNNNNNNNNNNNNNNNNNNNNNNNNCCGAGCGGGGCGCUGCUGCUGCAGAUCCUGAACAUGGGGGGCGUGCCUCAUCCGCGAGCACGGCGGCGGGCGCAGGGCGAUGGCGGGCGCGGGGCGACGGCGGGCGCGGCGGCGGGCGCGGGGCGUGCGACGGCGGACACGGCGGGCGGCCGGCAGCCGACGAGGGAGCAACGAGAGCAACGAGGUCGGGAGUGGCUCGGUGUGGGUCGCUGACCUGUGGGCCAGUGGCGGACACGAGCGGACGAGAGAGGCCGAGGAGCGCGUCCGUCUGUGUCCAUUCAGACCCAUUUGUGACCCAACUUUGGUCUAGAUUUGGGGUUGGGCCGGACUGAAACGGACACCAGCGGACAACUUUGUCCGUUUGAAUAUUACCGCUGGGUCGUAUUUUACCUCAAACGGACAAAAGCGGACCGGAUGGGUCACGGAUGGAUCGUGCGGUGGAGUUGGCCUAACUCUGCAUUCUUUGACCCCCUAAUCCUCCCCUGUUUCGCAAUGCACAUCGGGUUCAAGCCACCUCACUUGUUAAAUCUUUUGAUCAGGUUUAAUGGAUGCCAUGGCAAAUAUGGGAAGUUUUUAAAGAAACAAGGAAAAUAACCCUUAGAGCAGACGUGCAUCUAUAUCAUAGUUUUAAAUAGCCGGCUAUAGCCUUUUUAGCAAGAUGCCGCUAAAUAGCCGCCUUCACAAAUAGCCCGCUAUAGUCUGCUAUAGCCUGCUAUAACUCUGCUAUAGCUGAUUUGAAGGCCCGCCGUUAUUUUUUGUAGCCCGCUAUUUAAAACAUUGAUCUAUAUCUAUACCAAUACAAAAAGACCCAAGGGGCAUAUCCAAUUAAUAUCGGCCAUCAAAUCAUGUCAAUCCAACGACAUAUACUGCUUUAAUGUCGAGCGCUCAACAAGUUUAGCGUGCAGUUAAUUUCAUGCCAAAUAUAGUGCUAAUCACAUAAUAACACAUAAAUAAUAUCCUACUUAAUAUCCACAUGCGCUUAAUAUACUUCCAAAUUAACGUACAUGCACAUUGACUAGUUUUAAACAAAGGAAAGAACAACAAUCCCUCUUGUGCCUUAAGCACGGAUCAUGUACCUCCACUACCACCCCCACGAUCUAGAAUAAGGGUUUGCGCAUAGGACAAAAAUGUUUCAUGGAUAAUCCGGUCACGAUUUUUUCAGCCAGACGGGCCUCUCAAACGACCCUCAAACGCCCAGGAUGAUUGGCACCCCCAUAUCUAGCCCAAAUAUGGGGCGGAUAUGGAGGCAUCCGGGCCCGCCACCCAUGCCAGACCCGGCCCAUGCUGGCCCACCCAACCCUAAAAUCUUCCCCAUCCGCUUGUCGGACCAAUCCCUAGCCACUUCACUCCUCUCCCCUCCGCCACCCAAGCUUGCCUCAGGCUCCUUUCGGUCGUCUCCGGCAUGGUGGGCAGCGGAUCCAAGUCCUUCACCUCCAAAUCCGUCGACCCCGAGCUCAUCCCGCGCGGCCCUGAGGAGGAGAUGGCCGUCCGGCUUGCGCUUUGCCGGGCCCGGGAGGAGGCCCGUGGACGGCUGCUCGGACUCCAUUCGUCGGGAAUCCAUUGCCUCUGCCCAAAUGGGGCAUGGAUCCGACGCUAGGCCGGCCGUAGCUGCCUCUCCGGAGGCCGUAUGUGCGAUCCGUCUGGCAUCCGAAUGCGCUGGAGGACGUGCAACCCCUCCGAUAUUGGGGACGCACCUUCGUCCCAUGAGUCCACGACAGUGCAUGCACGCCGUGCAAGGCACCGGGCACGGGAGGCGGCGACAACCCUCGUGGCGGCGGACGUCGGCGAGGCGGAGUCGCAUUCUUCGGCUCCCCAUAUGGCGCAUUAGUUCGGGCGCCGCAACAACAUCGUGGUGGACAUCGGUGGCUUGUUCCUGGACGGAUCCAUCAUCGAUCUGACAUCCACCGGCACCAUUCGAGUUUCGGUCUCCGACGAGGAAGAGUAGGGCAUGGGAGAUGGCGGGGCCUUGAGCCCCAUGAGCCAACUCGUGUCCCAUGCCCUACCCUACCUUGCUGGCGACCGGACCAACACACUAAGGAGCGCAGCCGACCGCCAGACAUGGCCAGGGCGGAGCCGGGCGAGCGGGGAGCGGAACCUGAAGAGAUAUGCGUAGAUUAGGUUUCAUGUUGCAUGUGAUAAUAUGAAUUUGAGGUUUCCAAAUGCGGAAUUCGUUUUUCAAGGGGUGACCGGUCACUGACGCGGGGGUCGGAUUUGUCAAGCCCGGUUGUAGAUGCUCUUAGGGCAUCUCCAACACAGACCAACAAAUUUCUCCAGCAUAUGUUCAUUUGUAUGUCCGAAUGUGGUAUGUGGACAUGAUGCGGGAGGGAGUCAUCUAAUGAUAAUCACAAAGUAUCCAGUUGGGACGAGAAAAAAGUAGGUGGGAUCAUGCAUGUAGUGGGAUAUUUGUGUUUUGAAGUCCAGUUAGGAGGAGAGAGAAGAGGGAGGCCAUGCAUGUGCGGUUGGAAGGAGAGAGAUAAGAGGGUGACCAUGCAUGUGGUUGGUCAAGUGCAGGUCCGGACUCCACCAAAGCCCCCCAUGUUUGUCUCUGGGAUACUAGAAUCCGUACGCCCAAACUGCUAAGCAGACAUAUAUAGGUCCUCGUUGGAUGGCAAAAGUGGUCCAAACACUCCGAUCUGGACAUGUAGUGAAGGUUUGAGUGUCCACCUUAAAGAUACCCUUAAUAGAGCAACCGUGCACCAGCGACCCUAUCCCAGUUUAGAACUAUCUUCCCUUUGAUCAAUCCUUUGAAGUUCAGAAUGUGCUUGAGUUCCAUCUCCAUUUUCUCAUGGAUGUUGACAUCAUCAUCAACACAGCAUGUUCGUAGUCCGAUUUUGAUGAACUAAUGAACUCUUUUUGAAUGAAUUCAUCAACCUCCUGGUCUGUAUACUCCUCAUCCUACCAGACUGACAAAUCCAUCAUUUUGCCUAUAAAAGAAUCCAAAAAAACUGCUUAGCCAUUAUUGAACACAUUGAGGGCAAAGGUGUAUGACUGGAGGAGCGGGACAUAAAUCGCGGGGGCGAAAAUGGCAGGGAGGAGUUUUGUGGUGGUGAUGGUGAUGUCAACACUGUGGGGUCAUAAUGGUGGCGAAGCUGGGGUGGUGAUGAAGCUAGGGAAGGGACGUUGUUGACGAGGGAGAAAAGAGAAGACAAAAAUGGUAGGCCUACCUAGGCCGAGGUGAUUUGAUGAAAUUUUGUGGUGGGUCUUGUUUGUCGGAUCCGACGUGGCGGACAUGUCAGAGCCUCCCCAUAACCGUUUCAGAUAUGGGCUAGAUAUGAUGGGUGCCGGUUGGCACGGAUGUAUGGUUGAGGGAGCCGGUUGGGUUGUUAUUUCUUGAACCCGUCCGCUAGACAUACAAAUCCGAUAUAAAGGGUAUGAUACAAAGCCAAUAUGAAGGAUCUGGUUGUAGAUGCUCUAAGCAUUGAACACGAAGGUCUCGCAUUCACUAAGCUGCGCAAAGGCAACCACUGCAAUGUUAGUGUAUUCUUAGUUAAAGGCAUCUUCAAUGUUGACCCACAAAUUUUCUCCCGCAUCCAUCUCGAGACAGAGGAACUAGUCCGUGGACACGGAUGCAGGAGCCACAUACAUUUCAAGCCGGAUUUUCACAAACCGGACGACAUUCAUCAAAUCCGACGGAAUUAAUCAAAGUUCAGAUAGAAAAUAGCGCAAGUGAUUCAUACAUAGCAUGCAAAUAAGCCUAGUACAACAGUAGUUCAAAUUCAACGAGCUUGACCGGAUGUUCAACAAGUUUUUCAUGAAUAGAUCAUGUCGUCACACAUACUGCGGCUUCAGCUUCAUCCAACAGUGUGGGUACGUAAAAGGUUGUCCCUCUAUCCUAUGGUACAUCAUGGCGGCACUUUCGGGACAAUGUAUAGACCAACAUUGAGUGAGCAAAUGAUUCAACCAACAAGUUGAGCAAGAAUGGCCAAUGGCCACAUUACGGUACGACCUCCUCCGCUGCUGAACCCAAUGGCCACAUUGCCUCUAGCCGAGUAACCGCGUCACAACACUUGGUGAUGGUAGUCUAGACGGCGUACCAUCGAUACGAUAACGACUGCACAUUGAGAUCAUGGAUGAUGUGUAUGCAUGUCAUAGGGCGCAAUGUGCUUUCGCGCGUGAAACGAAUCAUGCACGCGCUGCUAGAAGAUCCCUCUUCUACUCCAACUCCGUGCGUAUGGCCAACCACGCAUCGCACAACAACUCAUCCUCUAUGGUUGAGUACCCCCACUUUGCUUCCAAUUUGCGGGGAAAAGUGACUCCCGGCCGGUCAGCGGACCGAUACACGCAUUGGAUGGCAAAACACAUCCAAACCGCACAGUUCAAAUGUGUGCGGACGGUUUGAGGGUCGGUGUUGGAGAUGCCCUAAAAUGAGUAGUUAUGCCUAGCUCAAAUAAAUUUAAAUUGAGAUUUAAACUUCCUUUCAGAAUUUUGAGCGGUAUCCACUCGGUUUUAUUCGGUAGCCGCAUCUUUUGCCCCCUCUUGGCAUUUGUUCAUUAUAUUUGGUAGCCAUGACCUUGGCCGGGGUCGAGAUUCAUGAUGACGCGAGGUGUACGGUGGUUGUGCGAUCGGUUAUUUGAACGGGGGACCAACUUUAUAUUUCUCGGCAACCAAGGUGAUGAACGAAGACAACCAACAUGUAGUUGGAUGGUUAGGAGGAUAGGAAUAUUUUCAGCCCAUCAGGGUUCAAGUCAAUUUUCGGCGAUGUGUGUUCAGUGGAAGAAGACGUUCCAUGGUGACUUCGAGUGUAUGCUUGUAUAUUUGAGCGCUUAUAUCUAUAGUGUUUUAAAAAAAAGUUGAUCAACGAAGGAUUUGAAGCAAAGCAGUCGCGGAAUUGCGGAAUUGGAUUGCUGCCGGGUUGGACGAAAACAGGGAGCGCCCACACAGAUCUCCAACAAAACGGAGGGCACACUCACGCACAUGCCCCUACGUGUUAUCCUACGCACGAACACGCUCCUUGGCUCCCUGCCGUGCAGUGGUCAUCAAAAAGUAUCAGAGGCGAGUCACUUGGAUUAGUUUUUAUAUGCGGACCAAGGAGGCGGUGUCAUCUGUGCUCUGCCGCAGCGCAGCGCCGGCCAUCCCGCACGCCCGCCGCUCGUCUCAAAACCACGGUCUCGCUUCCCACCGUAUCAGCUCGCCUUCCUCUCCGCGCGCACGCCGGUUUCGCGGUUUCUUGCAGCCUAUAAAUCCGGCCGGAGCACCCAGCUCUGCACCAUCCCAUUUCACACAACCGCUACUCAUCUUACCUGACACACUUCACUUCCUUCGGAUCUCGUGCCACCAAGCUCUGCUCCCGCCAAGAUGUCGACGGUGACCCGCGCCUACCUCGACCAGAGGCUCGCCGCUGCCAAGCGCUGCUCCAGAGGUAACCAAAACGAUAUCAUGGCCUGGCGCGCCCGUUCACCAUGCCGGCAAUGCUCUUGCUGCUCUGUUCCAAGUACUACAUUGCAGCUUUGUGUAGUACUGUCUGUGCUGAAACUUGGUGUUGAUUAACAUCCCUGUGUUGGUUCGAAACUGCAGAGGCUGCCAUGGCCGGAGCCAAGGCCGCGGCCGUCGCCACCGUCGCCGCCGCAGUCCCCACCGUAAGUACACAUUGCUCAGCCGGCACAGCUAGUUGCAAGGACGAACAAUCAGCUCACCAAGUUCUUCGUCCGUUCCUUUCUCUGCAGCUGGCGAGCGUGAGGAUGCUGCCGUGGGCCAAGGCGAACCUCAACCCGACCGGGCAGGCGCUCAUCAUCUCCACGGUCGCCGGGAUGGCCUACUUCAUCGUCGCCGACAAGACCAUCCUGUCCAUGGCCAGGAAGCACUCCUUCGACGACGCGCCAGACCACCUCAAGAACACCUCCUUCCAGUAAUUACGCUAUAAUAGCUCCAUUAAUAGUGCGUAAUAAACCGUGUACGCCGGUCGGCCUGUACAUGUCUGCUGAUUCAGCUAGGGAGGCGAUCAGGCGAGGCUUGCAGACAGUGAGUGGUCUACUGCGCUUCUCUCCGAGCAAGCACUUAUCUGAUCAAGUAAUCAUCAUGUAUCCAACCAGUAAUUUUGAAUUCAUAAUGACUUGUAUUUGUACAACUCAGGUUUACCCACCAUCCUUGUUCGUGGUUGUCAUUUGACAUGUGGCCAGUGGCAGAUCCUGCACAAGACCGAAAUAACACUGCAUUCUUCGACCCCCUAUCCUCACUUCUUAAAUCUUUUGAUAAGGUUUAAUAUAUGGCGUGGCAAAUAUGGAAAGUAUUUAUAAAGAUAAAAAAGGAAAAUAAUCCUCAGAACACAUGUGCAUUUUAACAAAGGACAGAACGACAAUCCCUCUUGUGCCUGAAGCAUAGAUCAUGUACCUCCACUCCCACCCCCACGCGUUAGAAUAAGGGUUUCGCAUACGACAAAAAAUGUUUCAGGAAUGUUGAUCUGGUUUGAAAGUAGUACUAAUAGAGCACUCGUGCGCCAGCGACCCUAUCCCAGUUUAGAACUCUCUUCCCUUUGAUUAGACCUUUGAAGUUCAGAAUGUACUCCAAUUCCUCCUGGAUGUUGAUCAUCAUCAUCAACUUUGCAUCUUUGUUGUCCGAUUUUGAUGAGUCGAUGAAUUAUUUUUUAAUGAAUUCAUCAAGCUCCUAUUCAUUAUACUCAUCAUCCAACAAAUCAAUCGUUUUGCCUAUAAAAGAAUAAAAGAAACUGCUCGGACAUUAUUGAACGCAUAGAUGGCAAGGUGUAUGACGGGAGGAGCGGGACAUAUUGCGGCGACGAGGAUGGCAGGGAGGAGUUUUGUGGCGGUGAUGCUGUCGCUUUAGGGUCAGGACAGUGGCGAAGCUAGGGAAGGGCCAUCGUGGACGCUGGAGAAAAGAGGAGAGAAAAUGGGCAGGUCUAGCUAGGUUGAGGUGAUUUGAUGAAAUUUAUGGUGGGUCCUGUCUGCCGGAUUCGACGUGGAGGACACGUCUGAGCCUCCCCAUAUCCACCUCAGAUAUGGGUCGGAUAUGAGGGGUGCCGGUCGGCCCGGACGCAUAAGACUAAUUUGAGGAAGUCAGCUGACUUCCUGUUUCUUGAGCGGUCAGUGACUGAAUCAUCCGCCCAAACAUAUAAAGCCAAUAUAAAGGGUCCGGUUGUGGAUGCUCUAAGCAUUCAACACUAAGGUCUCGCUCUGCUGAGGUGUGCAAAGGCAAGCACCGCGAUGCUAGCGGAUUCCAACUAAAAUGAGUAUAGCACAAAUAAAUUUGUAUUUGAAAAUUUCGAACAGUGUCCAGUUGGUAUUUGUGGGUAAAUAUGUUUCUCGCCCCCUCUUGGUAUUUUUUUGGGUAUUGGCAAAACCUUGGUGAGGGUCGAGAUUCACGAUGAUGGGAGAUGUAUGGUGGUUGUGCAAGCGGUGACGGGGCUAGCUAGUGAAAACAUUUUACGUUAUUUGAAUAGGUGAUCAACUUUAUAUUUUUCCGGUGAUCAAUAAAAGAUUUGCAGGGUGAACCAACCUGUGAUUGGAUUGUUAGGAGAAUAAUGGUAUCUCCAGCCCAUUAAAGUUAAAGUCCUGGUGCUGGUAUUUAUCCUGAAUUUAUUUCAGGAUUAUCUAUGAUGCACGUUCAGUGUGAGGAGACGUUUCUGUCGAUUAUAAGGAUCGGAAGAUGAUAUGCCGCCCGGGUGUGCGUGUGUUCAUCUGGCGCCGGAGUGCGUUUGCGCGUCGAUAUGAACGCUUGCGUUUGCACUGUGUUAAAAUUUUUUUUUGCAGCAAACCGCUCGCGGAAUUGGAUUGCGGCCGGGUUGGCCAAAAAACAGGGAGCACCCAGACCAGACAGAUCGCCAACAAAACGGAGGGCACACUCACGCACAUGCUCCUACGAUGCAGCACCUACGCACGAACUGGGACACGCUCCCUGCCAACCCCGAUCGAUCCAUCCACGCCUUAUCUUUACCUAUACUAGUUGCAGUGCAGUGGUCAUCAAAAAGUAUCAGAAAAAGUAUCAGAGGCGAGUCACGUGGGAUGGUUUUUAUAUGCGGGCCAUCUGUGCUCUGCCGCGUCGCCGGCCAUCCUCUGAAACCCACGGUCUCGCUUCCCACCGUAUCAGCUCGCCUUCCUCUCCGCGCGCACGCCGGUUUCGCGGUUUCUUGCAGCCUAUAAAUCCCGCCGGACCACCUCGCUCUGCCCAUCUCAUCUCAUCUCACACACCACUACUCAUCUUACCUGACGCAGUUCACUGCUAGCCAAUUCACUUCUCGUACCACCAACCUCCCUCGCCAAGAUGUCGACGGUGACCCGCGCCUACCUCGACCAGAGGCUCGCCGCCGCCAAGCGCUGCUCCAAAGGUAACGGUUCCGGCCUCAGGCCAGCACCUGCUCUGCUCGUAUAUCCCACUCAUUGCAGGUCAUGUGUGUGCUGAAACUUGAUCUUGAUUAACAUUCCUAUCCGAAACUGCAGAAGCUACCAUGGCGGGAGCCAAGGCCGCGGCCGUCGCCACCGUCGCUGCCGCAGUCCCCACAGUAAGUAGCCAGCUAGCCAUUCAGUUCUUCCAUGGUUCAUAGCAUGUCUCAUGAGUGCGUUACCUGUCAUUUCAGCUGGCGAGCGUGAGGAUGCUGCCGUGGGCCAAGGCGCACCUGAACCCCACCGGGCAGGCCCUCAUCAUCUCCACUGUCGCUGGGAUGGCCUACUUCAUCGUCGCCGACAAGACCAUCCUCUCCAUGGCCAUGGCCAGGAGGCACUCCUUCGAGGACGCGCCGGAGCACCUCAAGAACACCUCCUUCCACUAGUUAGAUCCAUUAUUAGUAAUGCCCAAUGAACCGUGUAUGCCAAAGUGCAUAGCGUACAGUGAUCAGCAAAGGGAGGUCAUAAUAUAAUUUUCAUCAUGCAAGUAGCCAUGUACAGCAUCUUUUGAGCUAGCAAUACUGAAAGAUGUACCAGCAUUUGUUAACCAAUAUUUUCCAGCUACCGGCUAUUUUGAUGAGUCAGUCAGAUUAUAUAAAAAGUUAAGCAACCUCAAGCUGACGUUUAGUUUAAUCUUGUUGGCUCGCUGCCACCCACGUGACACAUCGACUUGAUCAGCGACAACAUAUAGUAAACCUCAGAUCCUAGUUUCUAGUUAGCAAAUUCAGCGACAGUGCCGUUUUGAUCCAAGGUGAUCCCAGAAAGAUGCCGAAAUUUCUCAGAGGGGGAUAUUUACACACCAUGCAUCAUGUCAAAAAUCAGUGUUACAUCUCCAUUGCUUGCUGCCACUGAUCUCCCCGGAAUAUAUAGUUGUUUAACUAUCAAUAACUCAGUCCACACAACUGAAUCGUCAUGUUCGUGUUCAAUUUGGCAAUUCCCCUGGCGAAUCACAUAUCUUGCUUUGUAUAUGCAUAUGUGAUGUAUAUAUAUGUUUUUCGGAAAUGUUAACGCCCACACGUGUGGGCGUUUACAUCUCGCCCACAAGCGUGGAUCCGCGUCCGUUUGUGAGCGCACGAAUCUUGGCAUGUUUUUAGUGCCACGUAGGACUGGCCUGGUGUGUGGGCGUUCAUCCGGUCGCCCACACGAUCGUUUCACCACACGGGAGGGGCUGGUGUGUGGGCGUUCAACAGUUCGCCCACACGCCACUUUCCAUGCACGCACAAGGGCUAGUAUGUGAGCAUUUAUCAUCUCGCCCACACGCCAUCUUCUCUUCCACACCCAAGCUGCUAGUUGCCAUAUGUUAUGCAACGCACAUGGCAACUGCCCUAGUGUGCUUUGUAAGCAGGUGUCAACUCUCUUUUUACCCGAGUUGACAUGUGUUUUGCAGGGUACACGGCAACUGCCUAGUGUGCACGUAAGCAGAUGACAACUCUCUCUUUACCGAGUUGCCAUGUGUUUUUGCAUGGUAUAUGGCAACUGCCCUAACGUGCACGUAAGCAGAUGACAAUUCUUCCUUUUUACAUGGCAACUGCCCUAGUAUGCUUGUGAGCACAUGGCAACUCUCUCAACUGCCUAGUGGUAGUAUGUGGCAACUCCUAAAGUUUUGAAAUCAUGACAACUACAAUAGACCAGACCAUACAUGGCAACUGUAGUUGAGCAACCAUGGCAACUGCAGUUGUCCGACAUGGCAACCGUAGUUCAGCGACAUGGCAACUGCCCUAACGUGCACGUAAGCAGAUGACAAUUCUUCCUUUUUACAUGGCAACUGCCCUAGUAUGCUUGUGAGCACAUGGCAACUCUCUCAACUGCCUAGUGGUAGUAUGUGGCAACUCCUAAAGUUUUGAAAUCAUGACAACUACAAUAGACCAGACCAUACAUGGCAAACUGCAGUUGAGCAACCAUGGCAACUGCAGUUGUCCGACAUGGCAACCGUAGUUCAGCGACAUGACAACUGCAGUUAAACGAACAUGGACGAGGGUCUGGACCAUGGCAACUGCGGGCGCGCGGUGACUUUCACGCUGGGCGUGCGGGACCACGAGGUACGAGGCCUGACAUACGGGGCGUAUGGGCGUUAUCUACUUCGCCCACACGCACGCGUGUGAGAGGGAUCGGGAGGGAAAAAAAGAUGUGUGUGGGCAUUACUUGUUUUGCCCACACGUAGAUAUGUGGACUGUUUUUCUUAUACACCACACAAAAUGUGUGGGCAGUCUCCCUAACGCCCACACGUGUGGCACUUAUCGGCGUCCAUGUUUUUUUCAUGUGUACUUACCUUAUACAUAAAUUGAAGUGAAUGGCAGACAUGAACAUGUGAUGUAUAUAUGUUUUUGUCAUGAACAUGAUGACAUUGGUGUGAAAGUGAUCACAAUUUAGUUUACCUAACUUUGUAAUAAAUCAGUGUAAAUAUUUGCACGACACCAAAAUUAUUUCCGAUCUCACCAAAAGAUCCGAAAUUUAUAAGAUUUAGAAUUUAUAUAGAACCAGUUAGUCUAAAAUUCUUUGGAUUUGAACAACGUUAGUCCAAUUAUGACACGGUUCCCAUAGAAGUCAUCUUUUGCUACAUAAUUUUCUUUUGCUAUUUCAUCUUUACAAGAAGGAUUGGACGCGCUUUGCUUUGCUGUUGUUGGAUUUCACAAAGAUAAUUUUUGGUUUGGCGUGGGAGAAAGAUGAUGGAGUGUUUUUUUAAUGUGGUUCUCAGUGAGAUUUGUUAGCGGUGUGAUUAUAUGUUAUUUUCUAAUCAACAAAUACUUAUGUGGGGAAGUCCCGGUCCAAUUUUUUAUACUUAUGUUGGCAAGUUUUUUGCGUUGGUAGCCUCAUGUAUUAUAUUGGUGCCAUGGUGUCACAUGCUGGUGCUUCUUUUUUUAGAUGGUGAGAGGUGCACAACACAUGAUUAGUGUGUUUUUACGAGCUGGUUGUUGUCAAUUAAUUUGAGAAAUCAUUAACCCCGUCAAAAUCAUGAAUCAAAAUCCAAAAUUAAAUACCUCAACCAAAUGAAAGAGCAUGUUCAGAAAUAGUUGACCUAAUCAAAAUCAUAAAUCAAAGUCAGAUUUUAAAACUUCAAUUCAGUAGGAGGGAUCCAAAAUUAAAGAGCAUAAAUGAUAGCUAGUAAAAAACCUUUACGUUAUUUGAACUAGACGAUACCCCGCGCGUUGCUACGUAACUUUGUUAAAAAAUGCAGAGAUAGUUGCUAGAAAAUAUUCACAUCCAAUGAAAAGGAAAUAUUAGUUUGAAAAUCAAUAAAAGAAAGUCUCCAAAAACAGAAUAUAAAUUUUGGAAUUACUGCUAAAAAUAUCAUUUCGAACAAACAGGUAAAGGAUGACUACCAUGCAUGCAUGAUGUGGCAACGUUAUAUGCAUAGAGUAAUGCAAAAAUUAUUGCAAUUUAUUAGUUCGCUUAUGUGGUAGAUUUUGCAUGGCUUAGUGGGAGAGAAGACUUAAAUGCAUGGUCUUGGUGAUGGUAGUCUGGAUGGCGUACCAUCGAUACGAUAACGACUGCACAUUGAGAUCAUGGAUGAUGUGCAUGUCAUGGGGAGCAAUGUGCUUUUGCGCGUGAAACGAAUCAUGCACGCGCUGCCAGAAGAUCCCUCUUCUGCUACAGCCUAUGAACUCCGUGGAUAUGGCCAACCACGCAUCGCACAACAACUCAUCCUCCAUGGUUGAGUACCCCCACCAUUCUUUGUGGACUAAAUAAACAAAAUGCCAUUCAAAAAUAAGCUCAAUUAUAUUUGACCAAACACCUGUCAGGCAUGGUGUCAGCCAUGGACGUCGUCGACGGGUCCUGGAUGGACGGCGCCAUUGUAAAAGGUGAGCGGGCGUGUCGGUGCUGCUUGCGUAUGUCUGGCAAUGCCUGUGUGGCGGCCGGAGAGGUACAACGACAACGUCGGAGAAGGAGGAAGCAAUGGGGAGAAGGGGCGGCUUGGAAGAAAAUGUGACCGGGAGGAGGGAGGGGGGUAGUGGCCGGGGAUUCGGAGCCCUACGUGCCUGCUGUCUGGACUCCCGCACCCUCCCCACUUUGCUUCCAAUUUGCGGGAAAAAGUGCCUCUGGACCGAUCGUGAGACCGAUACACGCAUUGGAUGGCAAAGCACAUCCGAACUCUGCAGUUCGAAUGUGUGCGGGCGGUUUGAGGGUCGGUGUUGGAGAUGCCCUAAAAUGAGUAUAACACAUAGUUAUGCCUAGCUCAAAUAAAUUUAAAUUGAGAUUUAAACUUCCUUUGAGAAUUUUGAACGGUAUGCGGUUAGUUUUAUUCGGUAGCCACAUCUUUUUCCCCCUCUUGCCAUUUGUUCGGUAUAUUUGGUAGCCAUGACCUUGGCCGGGGUCGGGAUUCACGACGACGGGAGAUGUAUGGUGGUUGUGCGAGUGGUGACAUAGCUAGCUAGUGAAAACAUUUACUGUUGAGUAUCGUGAUUAUCAGGAAAGAGGAGAUAGACUAGGAUUUUUUUCUGGCUUGUCUUGUACUUUAAGUAAAUCAUUGUACUCCUAUAUAUAUAUGCCCACGAGGCUCAAGCAAUACAACGAACAACUAUUUCACCAGAUCCCUCUCUCCCUUCUAACAUGGUAUCAAUUUUCGGGUUCUAAAGCCUAGCCGCCGCCGCUUUUGCACCCGUGCACCGCCGCCGGGGCGGUCAGCCUCCAUGACCGUCGCUGGGGGCCGCGCCGCCCAUAUCGAGGGUUCAUCCGCCAGCCGUGUUGGCCGGCUGCCCUAGGGAGCCUUUUUCUCGAGCCCUUGCUUCGGGUUUUUUUUUGCUCUCUCGCUGGUCAUUUUGAUCGGCGUUUUUCUUUUUGAUUUUGAUCUAUGCUUGAUCAGUUUGUGUUGCCCGCCGCCGCCGUCGACACCCCGCGCCUCUACUCCGACACCGGCGCGACCGACCGGCUACUUCACCGACCCGGCGGCAUCGCGCGACAGGCAGCCCUCAAGGCCGUCGUCCGCGCCCUGGCCCGUUUGACGCCCUACGCCGGCCAUCAACGCCCUGCUCCGACCGGGGCACCUGCAUCGCCUACACCCGGCGGCCUCGCGCUAUGCGGCGGCCAAUAGUAGCCGCCGCUCGCGCGUCGACCCGCCAAUCGAUCCACGCCACCCGCCUCCGCCGCGUUUGCACAGCGGCCCGGCGGUCUUCCUCGCUGGCCUCGUCCUCCGCUGCAUAGGGACGGCUGUGUCAGGCUCGUUGGCUGCCUCAACUCGGGCGCCGCUGCUUCGUUGGUCGCUCGGGCCUCGCUGCCAAGGCGCCAACGCUGCUUUGGCAGCCUGGGUGCCGGUGCUGACAAGCUCGUCCGCACGACGUCCCACACCGUCCGUCGUCGCUGACCUCAUCUCGGACUCCGCCGCCACCCCGCCUCCACCGAGGGGCGUCCCCGACCUCGCGCAUGAUCGGCUUGAUCACCCGCUCACCGCUUCAUCUAGGCCGCGCGACCGACCUGGUCCAUCGGUUACGCGCGCCUCCGUAGGCCCCGUGAAGAUCGUCCUUGAGUUCAGCAUGCCCCUCCACCGAUCGAGCAAUGGGCUGCCGUCGCGUCGCCCCGUCGAGCCACAGCGCCACCGCCCCGUGGUUCACCUCGCGGUGCAUCGACUCGCGUAUUGCCGCUGCGUCGCCCCUACAGGCCGUAGUGCCGCGAUACGCGGUCCCAGCCGUCGUCCCGAGGCCGUCCCAAUGGUUGCACCGACGCACGCUCCGCCGCUGCACCGCCACUUCGGGUCGUAGCGCCGCGGUCCCUGCCGCCGCCCCGAGGUCUUCUUGCCGUCGCCCCGACCUGCCCGCCGCCACUGCGUUGCCCCUUCGGGCCGUAGCGCCGCGGCCUGCAGUCCAUUCCGCCGUCACCGCGCGUCGACCUCCCGUGGUAUGCGACACGCCCUCUCCCUGGGCGCGGGAAUGCCACCGUCCGCGUCGGUCUUCGUCACGUUGUCAGGGUUCUUCGCCUACAUCGAGCACCGUCACCGCGCUCCUAACCUAGCCUCCGCCGCCGCCGUCAGGCCGCCGGUGCCGCUCUUCUUUGGCCACCGCCGUUGUCGGUGUCAAAACUGGCAGAUCUCGGGUAGGGGUUCCCGAACAGUGCGUCUAAGGCUAAUGGUAACAGGAGCCAGGGGACACAAUCUUUACCCAGGUUCAGGCCCUCUCUAUGGAGGUAAUACCCUACUUCCUGCUUGAUUGAUCUUGAUGAUAUGAGUAUUACAAGAAUUGAUCUACCACGAGAUCAUAGAGGCUAAACCCUACAAGCUAGCCUAUGAUUAUGAUUGUUGUUGUCCUACGAACUAAAUCCUCCGGUUUAUAUAGACACCGGAGGGGGCUAGGGUUACACAGAGUCGGUUACAGAGAAGGAAAUCUACAUAUCCGAAUUGUCAAGCUUGCCUUCCACGCAAAGGAGAGUCCCACACAGACACGGGACGAAGUCUUCAAUAUUGUAUCUUCAUAGUCCAAUAGUCCGGCUGUCCGAGGACCCCUUAAUCCAGGACUCCCUCAGUAGCCCCUAGACCAGGCUUCAAUGACGAUGAGUCCGGCGCGCAGAUUGUCUUCGGCAUUGCAAGGCGGGUUCCUUCUCCGAAUACUCCAUAGAAGAUCUCGAAUACAAGGAUCAUGUUCGGCUCUGCAAAACAAAUUCCACAUACCACCGUAGAGAGCACAAUAUUCCAAAAAUCUAAUCUGCUGAUAACUUUUCAUAGCAUGAUAUCACGCUACGGCUCGGUCAUUAUUCGAACCGUUUUUCUCAACCUGCCACUUCACAUCUUGCGAGGAGGUUUUAUUGGUACGUCUUGUCGAAGCAGAGAUCAUGUCCCCUUAUCACCGGAUUCUCAUCAAUACGGGUGUGGGUAACCCAACCGCGCCAUCAACACGACGCUUGGGGAAUAAGAUAGUUUAUCGGCAAGUGGGGAGGCGCAUGGUUUCUACCGCCUUUCUAAAGAGAUAAGGAUUCCCCUUUUUCACCCACGCCUUCUUCUUCUUCUGCUCAUCCAUUCUCCCUCCCUCGAGCUCCAGCGCGCAAGUUCUCACCUUCUCCGUAAAGCCAUUCCAAGCAUGUCCGGAGCGGGAGGCAAGUGGAUGGCCUCCUCCGUUAUGGAGGAGGACAUCACGAAGCUUUGGGAGGCCGGAUACCUAUCCGCAAACAUCACGCACAGGCUUCCGGCUGAAGGGCAAAUCGUCCCUACCCCUAAACCUCAGGAGAGGGUAGUGUUCCUCUCUCACUUCGUCCGCGGGCUGGGAUUCCCCCUCCACCCAUUUGUCCACGGACUUAUGUUCUACUAUGGGCUGGACUUCCAUGAUCUGGCCCCCAAUUUUAUCCUCAACAUCUUGGUGUUUAUCGUCGUGUGCGAGGCCUUCCUCUGCAUUACCGCCCACUUUGGCCUAUGGCUGAAGACCUUCAACGUGAAGCCAAAGGUGGUGGUUGGCCAACAAGUAGAGUGUGGGGGCGCCAUGGUGGGCAACAUGCCCAAUGUCACCUGACCCGAAGGCUCCUUUGUGGAGACCAUGAAGGGGUGGCAAUCGGGGUGGUUCUACAUCACCGAGCCGCGUGACACCAACUGGGCGGCAGCCCCCGAAUUUCGAUCCAGCAUCCCCAUGCGGCUCACCUCCUGGAAAGAGAAGGGCUUGGCCUGUGUCAUCGGUGGAGCUGACCGGACUUCAGACCUGCGUCCAAAAUAUGAUAGGCAAGAAAAUCAAGCUUGUCAAUGUGGUCCAGGUCAUGCUCCUCCGCCGAAUCAUUCCAUGUCGGAGACGGGCUUUCAAUAUGUGGGAGUUCGACCCGACCGAACACCAGACACUGUGAGAGCUCUUCGACACGACGCACGAAGACGUCUGGAAGGUGUUGUUCAAGGCCACCGAGGUAGCACCGCCCAUAACCGAGGAUCGCGGACUCAGCGCAGAGCGCCCCGCCAAUCCAGUAAGCUCUUUUCUUCUAUAUUUUGCAAGGUGUUCCUUUCCCCAGCAUAUUCGCGGGAGGAAUCUAAGCCUCCAUGCCAAUUUAACAGGACUGGGUAGCGAUAGCAGAGCGGAUUGACUGUCCAGCUCCGCUACCUGAAGAUCCAGCAUCGCCUCUUCUAACGAAGAUGCUGUUUCCGGCACCCUAUGAGGUGCCGGAGAAGAAGGUCAAGAAGAAGGCAACAGGGACUAGGAAGGGUCUCCGGUGCAAGGUUGUAUCGGACAUGACGUUUGAAGACAUCGAGGCGCACUCCUCCAACGAAGACGAGGAGGAGGAAGAAGAAAUCCCUCCCCCCUCCCCAACCGGGGGGCAAAGAAGAGAAAGGUCGCCCCACAAGGGGAGGCUGGGGCGUCCAAGAAGGGAAAGGCUUUCCUUCCGGACCACUCCACCAUGGCCACCUACAGCGGCGAGGAGUGGCUGCCCAGGGACAAGCCCCUGGCUAAGUCGUAACCAUCCGGACACUUUAAUGCUUCCAGUGUGUUUUGAUUUAUUGCUUCUUAUCAUGCCAAACAUGCAUAUGCAGUUCGGCCACAUCCCACAUCGACGCAUCCUCUUCGGAUGGGUCUUUGGGCCCGUCGGCGAUAAACAGUGAUUCACUCCCGACAGCCUCCUCCCCCAGGCCCAUGGACGACACCGAGGUGUUGUCUCAGAGGAUACCGGACCAGGGGGAGACAGUUCUGGAGACGCCCCAAGGCGAAAUCCAAGAUGCCGGGCACAUGGGAGGGAAGACCCCCAUGGAUUCCGAUGGCGGGGGCUGCAGCAAGUCUGGCCCCCAGCCGAAUGCGGCUCCAGAAACCCAAGUGGUUCCGGAUUCAGGAAGGCAGCCUCUCUCUAAGGAGGGCGAGCCGCCUGUACCAAUGACCUCUGUCCAUCCAGAGGCAUCGGAUAACUUGCUAGAAGCGCUUCGCGACACUUCCAUUGAUGAAGAACACCGUACUCUUAUGAGUUUGGUGAUUGAGAAGGUCCGGUCCGCCAAAAGCGGAUUGACCGAAGCCUGCGCGAGCCUCCUAACAGGCUUUGAGGUAAGUAAUAAAAUUGUAAGAAAGUAUCACAACAUAGACAGUAGCCCAUGAUGCUGUAUUUGGUGUUCGAAAAGAAAGGUCGAACAGAGGAUCAAAUAACAUCCGCAGGAGUCUAACAGAAAAUGUCUAUGUGAAUAAGUAGGCGUCACUGCUGGCCACUGCCGCUCAUACUGCGGAGGUCUCCGGACUAAAGCGGGCCUGGAGUAGACCGAGGAAGAGCUCGGCCGCAUGAAGAGGCAGCUGGAUGAAAACAAAGGUACACAAUACCCCGUCUAUAUAUGUAUAAAGGAAAAAAUUGUUGCUUCUAAGCGUCAUGAAUUUUAAUAGGGGCCACGACCGAAGUGGCGGCCCUUAAAAAGGUGCUGACCGAGGCCGAAGACAAAGCGGCCAAGGAGCGCGCCGAGCGCGAGUAGCAAGAGGCCCGAAUCGAUGAGGUCCAGCAAGAGCUCCAGGAUUUCGUCAAAAAAUGCGAUUCCUUGGAGCGUGACUCUAAGACGCAAGAGUCCGAGCUUGCGAAGGCCCUCCAGAGCGCACGAGACACCAAGGACGAAGCCCAAAAGGCCCUCCAGGAGAUUCAGGCGGCCAAGAAGAUAGCGGCGGGUAAGGCAUUCAUUAUGCAAAGCAAGCAUGUGAAGGAGACUGUCCUUUUACUUACCCGAAUUUGGAGCUCUCCAGGAGCAUUCGCAGAUCUGUCACGCAGCAUAUCUGAUGCCGUAGAGUUCUACCGAGCUGAAGAAGGGAGCUCGACAGAGAAGUUGUUCUGAUCUCAGUAUAUUGGGACCGAACAUCCGAUGCCCUUGAGCGACGAGCUGGAGCAACUGGUCGAACUGCACAAGGCGGCCGAACUGGCCAUGAAGGACCUCAUAGUCCGGAUGUGGCUUGCCUAACCCCUACCCAGCAGCUACUUCGGCCUAGUAAAGCGGCUUGUGAGUGCCUGUCCGCGGCUUGAAGUUAUAAAGUGGUCAGUUUGCAUUGAAGGUGUGCGCAUGGCCUUCGCCUGCGCGAAAGUGCACUGGGCAAAGAUGGAUGCCAAGAAGUUAAUGACCGAGGGGCCGCCGAAGGGCAAGGAGCACUGCCACCCCGAGAAGUAUUAUGAUAGUGUCUUGAAGGGCUCCCGCCUUGUGGCGGAGCAAUGUGCUAAGGAUGUAAUAUUUGAGUGAAUGUACUCAUUUGAUCCUGUAAUAUGAAAACAAGUUCGUUUGCACAAUAUAACGCUUGUUGAUUAAAAUUUUACCUUCUGUGUGGCCGUUUAUAAAAUCUGAGAGUUCGCCAGUCGUCGACUUCUGCCCCCAUGUAACUAGUACCGGGGUGUUCGAUAUAAAUCUAAACAUUCUUUAUCCGUUUUUUUGUCCUUUAAGGAGGCGUUUAGUGCAACGACAAGGCAAUAAGAUUAUACGGCUUUAUCACUCUCACUUAGCCAUAGAAGUUAUAUAAUUUUAAAUUUUGGCAUAGCCCCUGGUAUUCGGAAGGCCGAACUUGGGGCGCUAUACACGCCUAAAUCGGACAAGGCCGAUUCCUCGCCCGAAGCAGAAAAAAUCUUUAAGGAUUUGAAACCUCUCGAACAGCGACUAGCUCUCGCCGCAUCAUGACAGUCAGUUUUCGGCUUUCUCUACUGAGGUGCUCGUCUGGAAGAACCAGGACACAAUCGCAGUAGUUGUCCCUGUGCCACCUUAGCCGAUAUAGCGGAACGUAAGGCAGCAAAACAUGGGAGCCGGGGAAACCCAACUAUUGACCCAAGACAUGAUUCGGAGUUGAUGCAUAUAAUGCUAUAAGUUCGGGGUGCUGCAUUGUCGAAAGUGUUCGGACUUUUCCUGCCGUGUUAUGGGGUACAUUGAAGCCCUUGGCGAUCUGAACGUACCAAAAUGUACGGGUGCAAUUUGUAAUAAAUAAACAGACAAGGAAAGAGAUAAAGAAAUGUAAUAAUAAGCUGACGUUAUACAUUAUUUUCCAUUGUUAUGUGAAUAAUACGUCAAGGCGCAUGUAUACAAGUAGUGCAAUAAGCACAAUAGGACUAUUUAACAUGUCCAUAACCAAGGGCGAGCUGCGUGUGGGUAUGUAAAAUAGGUAUAGCGAUCGUUAUCAGAGACCAGCUGGGGAUUCCCUUGUACGUCAAAGCUCCUUGCCUCCUUGGUGUUUCCGUCCAGUGAUGGGUCCGAUAAUCAGGCUAUCGGAAGAGCCUCCAGAAAAUAGGGACCUGAGAACAAAGAAAAGGGGGAAGGUGUACGGGUCCUGGGGCGGUUGAGCCACAUUAUGGACCGCAUUGUCUUUAUGUGAACUAGAUUAUUGACUCUAGUGCACUAGAGUCAAUACUAGUGACACUAUGUUGUCUAUAUAUUCACACAUGUAUUAUGUUUCCAGUUAAUACAAUUCUAGCAUCUAUGGUGGAGGGAGGCACCGCACACGGCUAAGAGAUCAAGAGAUCAAUUGUUGUCUCUAUGUGGUGCCCCCUCCCCCGUAUAUAAAGGAGUGGAGGAGGGGGCCGGCCAAGGGGGGUGGUGCGCCCUAGGGGGGGAGUCCAACUCUCACCGGGAGUAGGACUCCCCCUUUUCCAAUUAGGAGAGGGAGAGGGAAGGAAGAGGAAGGAGGGAGGAAGGAAAGGGGGGGGCGACCCCCCUACCAAUUCGGAUUGGGCUUGGGGGGGCGCGCCCCCUCCCUUGCUCCUUUCCCCGCCUUUCCACUAAGGCCCAAUAAGGCCCAUAUACCUCCCGGGGGGUUCCGAUAACCUCCCGGAGCUCCAGUAUUGUCCCAAUCUCACCUGGAACCUUUCGGGUGUCCAAAUAUAGUCCUCCAAUAUAUCAAUCUUUGUCUCUACCAUUUCGAGACUCCUCGUGAUGUCCGUAAUCACAUCCGGGACUCCGAACAACCUUCGGUACAUCAAAACUCAUAAACUCAUAAUAAAACUGUCAUCGUAACUUUAAGCGUGCGGACCCUACGGGUUCGAGAACUAUGUAGACAUGACCGAGACACGUCUCUGAUCAAUAACCAAUAGCGGAACCUGGAUGCUCAUAUUGGCUCCUACAUAUUCUACGAAGAUCUUUAUCAGUCAAACCGCAUAACAACAUACAUUGUUCCUUUUGUCAUCGGUAUGUUACUUGCCCAAGAUUCGAUCGUCGGUAUCUAAAUACCUAGUUCAAUCUCGUUACCGACAAGUCUCUUUACUCGUUACGUAAUGCAUCAUUCUGUAACUAACUCAUUAGCUACAUUGCUUGCAAGGCUUAUAGUGAUGUGCAUUAUCUAGAGGGCCCAGAGAUACCUCUCCGAUAAUCGGAGUGACAAAUCCUAAUCUCGAAAUACGCCAACCCAACAUGUACCUUCGGAGACACCUGUAGAGCUCCUUUAUAAUCACCAGUUACGUUGUGAUGUUUGGUAGCACACAAAGUGUUCCUCCGGUAAACGGGAGUUGCAUAAUCUCAUAGUUAUAGGAACAUGUAUAAGUCAUGAAGAAAUCAAUAGCAACAUACUAAACGAUCAAGUGCUAAGCUAACGGAAUGGGUCAAGUCAAUCACAUCAUUCUCCUAAUGAUGUGAUCCCGUUAAUCAAAUGACAACUCAUGUCUAUGGUUAGGAAACUUAACCAUCUUUGAUUAACGAGCUAGUCAAGUAGAGGCAUACUAGUGACACUAUGUUGUCUAUGUAUUCACACAUGUAUUAUGUUUCCGGUUAAUACAAUUCUAGCAUGAAUAAUAAACAUUUAUCAUGAAAUAAGGAAAUAAAUAAUAAGUUUAUUAUUGCCUCUAGGGCAUAUUUCCUUCACAUAUAUAUAUCAUAUGCUGAAGUGGCUGUCCAGCGCCCUGUGGGCGGUGGUUCUUGUUCUUCUCCGGCGUCGUCGUCCAUACUGUCGAUGUCUUUGGAGUCGAAAUCAAGCAUGUCGGUUAAGUCGUCGAUAGUGGCUAUUAAGUGGAUGGUGGGUGGGGAACGAAUUUCUUCAUCGUCCGCUUCCCACUCAAGCCGGACAUAGUUAGGCCAAGAGUCUCCUGACAGGGAGAGAGAUUUCAACGAAUUUAGCACGUCGCCCAAGGGCGAGUGCUGAAAGAUAUUCGUGGAGGUAAACUCCAUGAUCGGCACCCAAUCAGGUUCAGUGGGUGCAGAUAUACGCGGUUCGGAGCCUGCAGCCGGCGACGAGUCCAAGGGUCCGAUGACACAGACCUUAUUGGAGGCGAAGUCUGUGUUCGGCUCUACCGCCGAUGAGUGUGCAGCCUCCGUGGUGGGGCCUAUCCACCCGUCCUCGGAUGGCACGAUCUGCUCCAGAUUAAGAGCUGGGGCAGCUGCAGGUGCAAUCUCCCGAACACCGUCCGAUGGCAGAUCUAAGUCAUGCUCAUCAUGACUGUUCGGCGCACCUGUCAUGGGCUUGAAUCCAUCGAAGAUCAAGUCUCUGUGGAUGUCGGCGGUGUAGUUCAGGCUUCCAAACCUGACCCGAUGGCCAGGGGCAUAGCUAUCGAUCUGCUCCAGAUGGCCAAGCGAGUUGGCCCGCAGUGCGAAGCCACCGAAUAUGAAGAUCUGUCCGGGAAGGAAAACCUCACCAUGAAUCGCAUCGUUGUGGAUGAUCAACGGAGCCAUCAAGCCUUAUCGUGACGACACAGUGGAACUCUCAAUGAAAACACCAAUGUCGGUGUCAAAACCGGUGGAUCUCGGGUAGGGGGUCCCGAACUGUGCGUCUAAGGCUAAUGGUAACAUGAGGCGGGGGACACAAUGUUUACCCAGGUUCGGGCCCUCUAUAUGGAGGUAAUACCCUAUUUCCUGCUUGAUUGAUCUUGAUGAUAUGAGUAUUACAAGAGUUGAUCUACCACGAGAUCAUAGAGGCUAAACCCUAGAAGCUAUCCUAUGAUUAUGAUUGUUGUUGUCCUACAGACUAAACCCUCUGGUUUAUAUAGACAUCGGAGGGGGCUAGGGUUACACAGAGUCGGUUACAGAGAAGGAAAUCUACAUAUCCGAAUUGCCAAGCUUGCCUUCCACGCAAAGGAGAGUCCCACCUGGAAACGGGACGAAGUCUUCAAUAUUGUAUCUUCAUAGUCCAACAGUCCGUCAUAAGUAUAUAGUCCGGCUAUCCGAGGACCCCUUAAUCCAAGACUCCUUCAGCCGACACUACCCCCAUAGCCGCCGCAACCGCCCGUCCACCUCCUUCGUCUUCGUCCAGCACCAGCCCGUCAUCAGCGUCGCCGUCAUCUUCCCCGACCACUUCGUCUACUCCGACCACCGUUGGUGACAUUGGCCUCGCGCCGAUGGACGCCACACUCAUCUUCGAGUUUUUCUCUGUUGGCCCCUCCGACUUCUCCGACAUGGCGUACAGCUCAUGCAGGUCCCAGUCUCCGCAUGCCUGGUGCUGGCAACACCGAUGCAUGCCUUCAUCCACGACGUGUCCCUGGGCCUGGCCAGCCUGGUCGGCACUUCCUUCGACUUCGUCUUCGUCCACCUAUGCAUGCCCGGUGCUGGCAACAAUGGUGCAUGCCUUCAUCCACGAUGUGUCCCCGGGCUUGGCAAGCCCGCCGCGAAGCGUCGUCAACAACAUCUUCUUCCCGGUGCACCACUACUUCGACACCACUGCGCCCAUGCUAACUCGGCCCCCCUUGCGCCCGCGGUUCCACAUCGACUUCCUCGACACCGGCCACCCCGACUCGACAUCGACCACGACAUUCUUCACACGGCUACCUCGACCACGGCUACACCACUCACGCGAUCGGCUACAUCGACAAACGACACAAAGGGCUAUCGCCUGAUUGAGCAACCUCGUCGGUUUCCACUCCAGCCACAACUCUGCGAUGCAUCGACCGUNNNNNNNNNNNNNNNNNNNNNNNNNNNNNNNNNNNNNNNNNNNNNNNNNNNNNNNNNNNNNNNNNNNNNNNNNNNNNNNNNNNNNNNNNNNNNNNNNNNNNNNNNNNNNNNNNNNNNNNNNNNNNNNNNNNNNNNNNNNNNNNNNNNNNNNNNNNNNNNNNNNNNNNNNNNNNNNNNNNNNNNNNNNNNNNNNNNNNNNNNNNNNNNNNNNNNNNNNNNNNNNNNNNNNNNNNNNNNNNNNNNNNNNNNNNNNNNNNNNNNNNNNNNNNNNNNNNNNCUCCAGUCUCACCGUCUGCGUCGCUACCGUUGUGACUGCGGGGGAUGUUGAGUAUCGUGAUUAUUAGGAAAGACGAGAUAAACUAGGAUUUGUUCUAGCUUGUCUUGUACUCCAAGUAGAUCAUUGUACUCCUAUAUAUAUGCCCACGAGGCUCAAACAAUAGAACAAACAACUAUUCCACCAGAUCCCUCUCUCCCUUCUAACAUUUACGUUAUUUGAACAGGUGACCAACUUUAUAUUUCCCCGCAACCAAGGUGAUGAACGAAGACGAACCAACAUGUAGUUGGAUGGUUAGGAGGAUGAGAGUAUUCUUGGCCCACUCGGGUUUAAGUCUCAGUGGGAGAAGAUGUUCCCGUCGACUACAAGACGGCUACGGUGACUUUGAGUGUAUGCUUGUAUAUAUGAGUGUUUAGAGCAACUCCAACGGGGCGACCCAUUUCGUUGGCCGCCGUCCGUUCGGGUCUACGCGGACAAAAGUGGAGGCCCAACGCGCCGAUCCAAACCCAAAACGCGUCCGCUUCGCGUUCGCGCCGACGCAUUUGCGUCCCAAAUUUGCGCCCCAAAUGCAUCAGCACGGAGGCGGAACAGACGCCGCGCGCGCCUUCUUGACGUCCGCCGCGGCCCCACCUGGCGGUUGCUCAACUACCCGCCCUCUCGCGGGUCAGCUUAAUUUAUGACCCUGAGCCCACGCAUCAGCAACGGCGGUCGUCCUUUUUUAAGCCGACCAUGUGGCGGGGCCCUCCUCAUCCAUUUUCCGUCCCCAUCGAGGCCAUGCUCGCUCCGCCGUCGCUGGCAAGACAACCCUAGCCACCCCAGCCGCCCAAAUGGGGCUCUUCUCCGGCAGCAGCAGCAAGCCGAAGGGCAAGGUUCCCGUCGUCCCCUUCCCCAUGGAGUUCACCCCGCCUCCGCCUGCGCCUGCUUGCCGGCAAAGGCAGCGGGUGAACGUGCCCGUGCACCAGGCGGAGUGGCACUGGCACCACUGCGUGCUGCUGCCGUACCCCGACGUGACGCUGCCGCACGACUGGCAUCUGAAUCCGGAAAGGAUCCCAGUGUCGGCGGCGCCGCGGUCGGCUAGGGAGCAUGCGGAGGAGGUGCAUCGCCGGCAGGCGCUCCUGACGCGGGAGCAGCGCCGCGAUGAGGCGUACGCCUUCGACUCGCUCAACUGGGCGCGCUGGUUCGCUUCGAGCACGAGGGGGCGAGGCAGCGCGACGUGCGGAGGUCGCCCACAGUGUGCCGCCGCCGCCGCUCAUCAUCAGGGAGGAAGACCAGGCAGCACGGGACGCCUACCAGGCGGCCCUUGCGGCCGUCUACCGGGAGAGCGAGGAGGACGAGCGGCGCAAGGCGGAGGCGGCAGAAGAAUAAGAAGCUCGGUACGAGGCGGCCAUGGUGUAGGCCAUGGCCCUCUCCGCGGCCGGCGACUGCGUGGUGCUGCCGGUGGCCCCGCCGUCCCCUCCCCAACGCCUCGUCAAGGCCGACCCGGAGCCGCAGCCACAACCGGAGCCGGAGCUGGGCUCCACCGCGAGCUUCUCCUGGACGGGAAUGGUGCGCGAGUGGGUGUCGGCGCCACCGGUUUGGAUGGGGGCGACCCCCGGCGCAGGAGGCGGCAUACCUCGAGCACGGGCGCCAGCGACGGCUGGCUGAGGAGCGGUGUCAAGGCGAGUACGAGGAGAUGCUCGAGCGCGACCUCGAGGAGGAGGCGCGCGAGACUCAGGAGNNNNNNNNNNNNNNNNNNNNNNNNNNNNNNNNNNNNNNNNNNNNNNNNNNNNNNNNNNNNNNNNNNNNNNNNNNNNNNNNNNNNNNNNNNNNNNNNNNNNNNNNNNNNNNNNNNNNNNNNNNNNNNNNNNNNNNNNNNNNNNNNNNNNNNNNNNNNNNNNNNNNNNNNNNNNNNNNNNNNNNNNNNNNNNNNNNNNNNNNNNNNNNNNNNNNNNNNNNNNNNNNNNNNNNNNNNNNNNNNNNNNNNNNNNNNNNNNNNNNNNNNNNNNNNNNNNNNNNNNNNNNNNNNNNNNNNNNNNNNNNNNNNNNNNNNNNNNNNNNNNNNNNNNNNNNNNNNNNNNNNNNNNNNNNNNNNNNNNNNNNNNNNNNNNNNNNNNNGCCGACACUGCCCCCGCCGGAAUAGCUGCCCCCGGUCUACAUCGCCGCCGCAUGGGCCACGGCGUUCCCCUGGGCCGACCCUCCGCCGACGCUCAUCGACCUCACUGACCCCGAGGACGACGACGACGACGACGCCUAGGGUGCGUUGGACAGCGCGCCGCCUCGUAGUUAGGUUGUUUUUAAAUUUUUUUUAAUGCUAUUGUGGACGCGUGGACUCUCGCCGGCCUUCCUGGUCGGCUUUAAUGUUUAAUUAAAUUAUUUUCAGUUGAAAUAUGCAUGCACAGUUUUUUUUUUGUCGGCACCGUCAAAAUGGGUCGGGCGCGCGUUGGGCGCAUACGCCGACCCAAACGCGAAAGCGGACGUCCGUGUCCACCCUGACCGAUCAAAACGGAUAAAAAGCGGACGAAAUCGCUGUCCGUUUGGGUUGGCCCGUUGGAGUUGCUCUUAUGUUUGUAGUGUGUUAAAAAGAAAAGUUGAUCAACCAAGGAUUUGCAGCGAACUACUCGCGGAAUUGGGUUGGACGAAAACAGGGAGCGCCCACACAGAUCUCCAACAAAACGGAGGGCACACUCACGCACAUGCCCCUACGUGUUAUCCUACGCACGAACACGCUCCUUGGCUCUCUCCCAACCCCGAUCGAUCUUUAUCCAGUUGCGGGGCAGUGGUCAUCAAAAAGUAUCAGAGGCGAGUCACGUGGAUUGGUUUUUACUAUAUGCGGGCCAUCUGUGCUCUGCCGCGUCGCCCACCUUACGCUCGUCUGAAACCCACGGUCCCCGCACGCCGGUUUCGCGGUUUCUUGCAGCCUAUAAAUCCGGCCGGAGCACCCAGCUCUGCCACAUCCCAUCUCACACAACCUCUACUCAUCUUACCUGACACACUUCACUUCCUUCGGAUCUCGUGCCACCAAGCUCUGCUCCCGCCAAGAUGUCGACGGUGACCCGCGCCUACCUCGACCAGAGGCUCGCCGCCGCCAAGCGCUGCUCCAAAGGUAACGGUUCGGGCCUCAGGCCAGCACUGCUCUGCUCGUAUAUCCCACCCAUUGCAGCCUAUGCUUGUGCUGAAACCUGACCUGGAUUAACAUUUCCCUACGUUGAUCCGAAACUGCAGAGGCUGCCAUGGCAGGAGCCAAGGCGGCGGCCGUCGCCACCGUCGCUGCCGCAGUGCCCACAGUAAGUAGCCGUUCAGUUCUUCAGUUCCAGAGUUCAUAGCACAUAUCUCAUGAAUGCGUCACCUGUAAUUUAAGCUGGCGAGCGUGAGGAUGCUGCCGUGGGCGAAGGCACACCUGAACCCGACCGGGCAGGCCCUCAUCAUCUCCACCGUCGCCGGGAUGGCCUACUUCAUCGUGGCCGACAAGACCAUCCUCUCCAUGGCCAGGAAGCACUCCUUUGAGGACGCGCCGGAGCACCUCAAGAACACCUCCUUCCACUAAUUAGACUAUAAAAUAGAUCCAUUAGUAGUCCGUAAUAGUCUGCACGCCGGACUGGAAGUGUCUGCUGAAAGAUGGUAUUGUAAUGUUCAGGCAGCACUUCUAUGAAAUCAGGCGAGUGGUGUAGUACUGCGCUUCUUUGCCCGCAAGAACUUAUCUGAUGAAGUGAUCAUGUAUCCACCCAGUAACCUUGAAUUAAUAAUGACUUGCAUUUGUACAACUCAGGCUCACCUGCCAUCACUCAUCUUACAUUUUCUUGUUUGUGAUUAUCGUUUGAAAUGGGACACUGGGAGAGCAUGCACACGGCCGACACAACACCGCAUCAUUUGAUCCCCUACUCCUCAACUGUUCUGCGGUGUACGUCAGGAUCAUGCCACCCCACUUUGUUAAAUCUUUUGCGGACCGGGCUGCGGGAGGCAGGUGGCUCUGUAGGGUGGCCCCAGUAAUCUUUCACUUCAAAUGUUGUGUACUGCUAUUUUGAACAUUUGUAAUGAUAAAUGUGAGUUUAAAUCGCCACUUUUCAUUUAGUAUAUACAUCCGAAUGUACGUACUCCGUAUUGAAAUCUCUAAAAGGGCUUAUAUUUAAGAACGGAUGGAGUAAUAAUAAGUAAAAGUUGUAAAAAAUUAAAUUUGGCAUGGUGACGUUGGUACAUGAACUUGUCAUGGAAAUCUCACACGAUUUCUCGAAACGUGGAAAAAACACUUGAUUAGAAAUGGCCCCUUUUGGCACAGUGUCCGAAUAUUGGUACAUGCUUAGUAGUUUUUUUAUGAUAAAAAUGCUGGCAAUGGAUCCACAUCUCAGUCGAUUCCUGGAGCUAAGCAGGGUGGUUUUCCUACUGGGCUCCUUCCAUCCCCAGUGAGGCCUUGUUCGGUUAAGCCACUCCCCAAGUGGAUUGGAGUGGAAUAGAGGGAAUUUGGGGGGAAUUUGAACUAGAUGGGAUUUAAUCCAUGCCAAUCCCUCUCAUUUGCCAUGGAACCGAACAAGGCCUGAGGAAAACCAGACCCCAUUCACGAAUCACAUGAGAGUAUGAAAUCUGAUGACUCAUUACAUACCACUUUGCUCAUUGAGUCCAUGGCUCGUGAGAUGGAUCAUGAUGAAAAAGUGAGCCCAUGUGUUGGAAAAGCUCUUACUACUUUAUGCAUGAGUGGUGAAAAAAAAACUUAUUCUGAUGUGGUAAACACUCUUCCUAAGGUUGUGGAGGUGGAUGAGCAAAAUGACUCAAAUCUGAAAAUCAUCAAUGACUACAUGGUCGAGUUGCCUGACGUUCAAGUGGACAUUGAGGUGAUUCCUACACCUCCCUUAGUUACGGAAGAGAAUCUGCGUUUCAGUCUGCGCAAUGUGCAAAACAAGAUGGCUAGUGUGGAGGAAAAAGCUAUGGCAGUGGCUAAGAAGAGGGACAUUGAAGGUACUCCCAGAGACCUCAACUCUUUUGAUGCAUUAUCAAAUUCUGAACUUAUUCUUAGAGCAGUCAAGAUGGGAGUUAAUAUUCCAGGUGCAGAUUUUGAUAGUGUGGAUAUUCUAAGGGAAUUGAAAAAUGUAGAAUCAGGGAUAGUUUGAAUGNNNNNNNNNNNNNNNNNNNNNNNNNNNNNNNNNNNNNNNNNNNNNNNNNNNNNNNNNNNNNNNNNNNNNNNNNNNNNNNNNNNNNNNNNNNNNNNNNNNNNNNNNNNNNNNNNNNNNNNNNNNNNNNNNNNNNNNNNNNNNNNNNNNNNNNNNNNNNNNNNNNNNNNNNNNNNNNNNNNNNNNNNNNNNNNNNNNNNNNNNNNNNNNNNNNNNNNNNNNNNNNNNNNNNNNNNNNNNNNNNNNNNNNNNNNNNNNNNNNNNNNNNNNNNNNNNNNNNNNNNNNNNNNNNNNNNNNNNNNNNNNNNNNNNUGGGAAGAAAAAAGAGAGAAAGGUUAAUAUUGUUAUAUCUGGACCUACUACCAGAAGUCAAAAAGGGGGUGUUUCCUUACAAGAUGAUAAGGGUAACUCUACUUUGCCUCCUAGUAGAGUUACCAAGAGGGGGGGGGGGUCAAAAAGAAAAAAAUGAAUGGUCUAUUUUUGAAUUGGAGAGGAGCAGGUAAGAAAGGGAUGACUACCUGCUUCUCUGAAAUCAUUAGAGAUCAUUCCCUCAACUUUAUUGGCCUCCAAGAGACUAAGAAAACCAAAUUUACUCCUAAGUACUUGAGGAAGAUUGACCCCUUUGAGAGAUUCAAUUUGAACUGGGUCCCCUCCAUUGGAAAAUUGGGUGGGAUUUUGUGUGGGGUCAAAAAGAGAAACCUUAGACAGUGUUGCAUGGACAGUGGGUAAAUAUCUCCUUCAAGUUAAUGUGUUUGAUGUAAAGCUAAAAUGCAUGUGGGCCCUCAUAGUUGUAUAUGGGGCUGCCCACGAUGAAAAUAAAGAAGAAUUCCUAGCUGAGUUACCUCGGUCUGCUCCCAUAUUAGAUUACCCUAUAUUAUGGGUGGUGAUUUCAACAUCCCGCGGGAUAGUAGCGAAAAAAAUAAGCACUUGACCCGUUCUCAUUAUGUGGAUAAAUUCAAUGAUGUCAUUCACUCCUUGAACCUACAUGAGAUAGAUAUGGGAGGAGGUAAAUAUACUUGGACCAACAACCAAAAACACCCCACCUUAGAGAAACUAGACAAAGUUCUGAUGAGCUUUGAUUGGGAAGAUCUCUUCCCUCUAGUCACGGUUUGCAAGUCAGUAAGAGAUAUGUCAGAUCACAAUCAUUUACUGUUAUCCUCGAGUCCUAUGAAAACAAGCCCCCUUCACCAUCGUGAAUUUAGAUUCGAGCGUAGCUGGCUAAAAAAUGAGGUUUUUUUAUCAUAAAGCUAAGAGCAUUUGGGAACAGUAGUUAACUCGAGUGACCCGAUUGAUAUCCUUAACAUUAAGUUGAAACGUAUCAAGAAAUACUUUAAAGGUUGGGGAUCCCACUCCUUUGGCCAUGCUAGAAAAAGAAAGCAAAAGAUAAAGGAGGAGUUAGAAGAAAUUGAGAAAAAGGAAGAGGUCGGACCCCUUGAUCCUGAUAUGUAUGAAAAAAGAACUACCUUAUGUGCUGAGCUUAAUGACAUCCUUGCUGAUGAGGAACUCUUUUGGCUACAACACUCGAACGAGCGUUGGCUGCUCAAAGGAUAUCAAAAUACUGCCUUUUACCAUCGCGUUGCUAAUGGGAGGAAAAGAAAAAAAUGCUAUCCAUUCUCUAACGAAUGGGGAGGUGGUAAUUGAGGGCACAAAAAAUCUCCUAGCCCAUGUCACCUCCUUCUAUAAGGAUCUGUUUGGCCCAGCCAGAGGAAAUCUUUUCCUUCUGUCCCUAGAUACCUGGACUGAGGGAGAAAAACUUACUAGCGAAGAUAAUUUCCUACUCACUAGUGAGUUUAUAGAGGAGGAAGUUAAAAAAGCCUUGUUUGGCAUGGAGAGCAACAUAACCCUUGGUCCGGAUAAUAUACCGGCAGGAUUCUAUAAACACUGCUGGGAUUUUGUAAAAAAAUGACAUAAUGUGUCUUUUUAAAGCUUUCCAUGACAACACGUUGGAUAUUGAAUGCUUGAAUUAUGGAGUGAUUACCCUACUCCCAACAAUGAAUGGGGCUAAAAAAAUCCAACAAUAUCGUCCCAUCUGCUUACUUCGGUGUCCCUAUAAGCUAAUCACCAAGGUGCUUGAUAAUAGGGUGGCUGUUUAUGUUGAUAAGCUAAUCAGCCGGCAUCAGAAUGCAUUCAUUAAGCACAGAAACAUAAUGGAUGGGAACCUUACUCUCCACGAGGUGUUUCACCACACACAUCACAAGAAAAAGUGGGGUUGGUCUUGAAACCGGACUUUGAAAAAGCCUACGACAAGAUUAAUUGGGAUUUCCUUCUGGAAUAUCAUCGUAACCGUGGCUUUGGUAAAACCCGGUGUGGAUGGGUGGAGAAAAUUUUACACAAUGGCACAGUGAGUAUUAGACUAAAUAAUGAAGUGGGCCCUUAUUUCCAAAGCCACAAAGGAGUACGCCAAGGCGGCCCCUAUUCUCCUUUUCUAUUCAACCUAGCUGUUGAGACCCUACCGAAGAUGAUCCUUAAUGCUCAAAAAGAAAAACUCCUUACUGGGUUGGCUCCUAAUCUGAUUGAAUGGGGAGUAGCUAUCUUACAAUACGCAGACGAUACUGUGAUAUGCAUAGAACAUAAUAAAGAUGCUGUUGUAAACUUGAAACUUCUGCUAUAUAUGACCGAGCUUAUGUCAGGCCUAAAAGUCAAUUUCCUCANNNNNNNNNNNNNNNNNNNNNNNNNNNNNNNNNNNNNNNNNNNNNNNNNNNNNNNNNNNNNNNNNNNNNNNNNNNNNNNNNNNNNNNNNNNNNNNNNNNNNNNNNNNNNNNNNNNNNNNNNNNNNNNNNNNNNNNNNNNNNNNNNNNNNNNNNNNNNNNNNNNNNNNNNNNNNNNNNNNNNNNUGAGGACACGCUGGCCUUUUAUGCGGAGUUGUUUAAUUGUAAUAUUGGGAACUUCCCAAUGAAAUACUUGGGAGUCCCAGUCGGUUAUUCAAAUCUUCGUGUCUUGGAGUGGGACUUUGUUGAUGAAAGAUUCCUUAAAUGCUGCGAAGCCUGAAUUGGGAAUGCAGCAUCCUCGGGAGGAAGACUUAUACUACUCAAUUCCUCACUUACGAGCAUUGUGUACUGAUACGUCCAUUUUGCAUCAUGCAGCAUCCUCGGAAUGUAGAAGAAUAAUACAAUGAAAGUGGCAUAGUCUUUCUUCUCUUCCAGCAAUUGAUUUCCCACUCUUGCUCAUAUGCAUUCCACUAUGAUGAAGCAGGUCCAAGUCUCUCGCUUGACAGCAGAGUAGGGCAGGGUGUGACUCGGUGUUAACCUUGGCCUGAAAUGGACAAAAAUUAUGAUAUCAUAGGGAGAACAACAUUAAUAACAUAUGAAAAUACCCAUUAUACAUAGGGGAUUACCUAAAAUUGGUGAUCAUAUUUCAUUGCCUGUGCAUGCAAUCGCCAUUUACAACAUUUUGUUUGCCUACAAUGCGCCCUAAGCAUUUUUUGGUUAAUCUUUUUUAGUGAUAAACUCAAACUCCCUUCUAUAGCCAUAAGUUGCAAGUGCUUAUCUACAGUCCUCCACGGAAUCAAUGAUAGUCUCUGCUUUCAUAUUAGAGUCGCCCUACCUAAGGAGAUUACAGACCUAUCAUCUUCUUCUUCUAGACUGUGAGAUGCCAUUGCCUAUUCCUUGUCGUCGUCAGUCAAAUAGCCAGCCACAUACACAUGUCGAUAAGUUUUCUCAUCAUUAGUGGGUAAAUCUUACCAAGUCUAAUUGUUAACAGCAUGAAACAACAUCCACAUGGUCCUCAUAGACACGUGUCUACCAAACAUCAACAACAAACAAUCAUCAUCAGCUACGUCAAUAAAUUUCUCUAGUGUCAUAGUGCCUCAUCAGGUAAUGCUCGUUGGGAUGAUAGUAAUACUUCUCAAAUUGCUUAAUUCGGUCCUUCUGACUUACUAACAUAGCGUCUAUAGGCAAUUGAUAGUGAAACCCGCCACUAAUUUCCAAGCUACCACCGGUCAAGCGAUGGGUGUAACACCCAUGCAGAAUUUUCAAGAACAUCAAGAAGUUGUUUGGAGGUACAAUCCAACGCAAAGUAGAAAAUCAUGAGUGCGAUAUUCGAAUAGAAAAAAUGUGAAUCGUCAAAAAGGUUCAAGAUAAUGGUGGAUUUCUUACCCCCAUGGGCGAAACGAUGCUUUCACUAGGCUCCAGAGGCCCUGGCCGUCGUAAAGAUCUGUCUGAGCGGAGAUCAUGAGAACAUCGAGGUGGCGGUGGUUGCGGAACAGUGGGAGAACGUGACUCGAAGUGGUGGGAAGAAGAGGGCCCCUACCCACCAAUAUUUAGGAACGCGCCACUAUCGACGGCUAGAGGUGGCCCACAACAGACAAAGACAUCAGGUUGGCAAAAAUGGAGAUUAUGGCCUCAACUACGUUCCCCCACAUCGGUUGGAAUGGUCAAAGGGCUCCUUAUUAAUAUUGGUGGCACGAUGUCAAAGUGGAAAAAUGGAAAUUGUGGCCUCAACGGUGUGCCUCCACAUCGGCCGGAGUCUUCUCGUCGCUGCGGUUGAUGUGGCGAAGUAGUGGGUCCCAGAUGGAAUGAGAUGAUGUGUGGGGCAUACAUCUAAUUCUUUUGCAAUCGCAAGUGGCGUGGACUAAAAUACGGAAGUUUGAGUGACAAGACUCAAAUAUACAACUUUGGCAGCGGCACAAACCUAUUUUUCCAUAAAUAUAAUAUUAAAAAAAUCCCUCAUGGGUUUGAUGAUAUUGAUUGGAAAUGUAUAUGUUCAUACUUCUUUCCUAUAAACUAUAUCAAAGCGUAAUCAGACAAAAGUAAUAUACACUCUAUUUUGAAAUGUAGGGAGUAAGCCAUAUCUAUAAAAUAUCAUGACCAUGGCUAUUGAUGAUUUCUCUAUACUACUCAUGUCAUUUAAUAGGAUUUAUUGGCAUUUAUUUGGAUAAGGAUAACCUUUUGUUGUGGGUCGGAUAAGGAUAAGCUUGAUGCAAAAGAAACUGAAACAUGCCGUUUAAUGACAUUAAUUGGAUAAGGACAACCUUAAUGCAACCACAUCUACAUAAGACGACUGAACGGUACAAAUCAUGACCACAAAAACCAUAUCGAUUGAUAGACUAUUGCAUAAUUACAUAUUCUCAGUUGUUCUGUGUUCUUAGGCAAUGACAAAAAAUAGCAUCUUCCAAGUGAUCAUAGCGUUACUCAUGGUGCAAGUCUGCUUGCUCAUGAUGAUGGCAGCACCGGCAGCACAUGCAGCUGCUAGACCAGUGGGGUACAAUCCAGUGUGCUGUCCUAGGAACAUUUACUGUUGCGGGUUCGGUGGCGCAUUGGCCAAUGCACCCGCACCAUCCAUUGAGCCUUGAUGUGUGGUGUUAUUGUCUCCUCGAGGUAGUAAGCUCGACAUAUAAAUGAUAUAUGUAGUUUUAUUGUCUCAUGUGUUACUUGUUCCUGAAUAUUUGUGAUGCUAUUUUCAAGAAGAUAUUGUACUAGCUACUUAUGUAAUAAAAUGGGAGGAGAUUAUUAUAUAUAUUGUGUUAAACAAAGAGAUUCAAAUUUAUGUUUACGUUAUUCCUUUUGGAAACAAGAUUACUUGGACACAUUGCUUUAUGGCAAAAAACCAGUGGUGAGGUGCGUGCCUAUGAGAAUUUCUGUUUUAUCGUUCCGUUGGUCCUCCAUUUGUCGAGAUUGUCUGGGUCGUGGCAACAUGUUUUAUUUUUCACAGAGGUCAUAACUUUUUGUAGCAUUUAUUGAGUGAUGGAGUACAUCACCAAUUAGUAGAAACCAACUACUGUUGGCGAUGCUUGUUUAUGAAUCAAGGGAUCCACACUCUCUUCCUUUUUUGCAAGAAGGCCGAGGCCAUGUAUUAAAAUUGUCCAACCCUUACAACACCAUCCUUACAACAGAAGAAAAAUAGAAAACAUAUCCUGGGUUAUAUCAAGGGCGUCUUCCUUCCGGACUUAUACGGCGUGAGCAAAGCUCGAUGUCGCCUUUGGAUUUCCAGAACACCUUAGAGCCAGGGUAAAUCAUUCUCUACAUUUUUCAAGUGAGUGCUCAAUUCCUAAAAAACAGUCAAAUAACUAGUAUAUAAAUACAACUUUUUAUUCUUUGAUGGAGCACGAAGGGAUUGUUUGCCGUGGAUCCUACAUGUGUAAUCUAUAUAUUAAUCUAUUACUAUACUAAUUAGAGACACCUUCGAAAUUCCCAUGGUUAAUCAGGAAAUACGAACUGCUCAUCUGGUGGGACCAAAUUAUUGCGGUGUAGAUAUUUUAAUUUUUUCUCACAUUAAUAAAAAAUAAACAGUAAUUAUAAGCCACACAUCUGGUGGGACUAAGUUAUUACCGCUAGAAUUUUGCUCCAUUCUAGUAAGCACAAAUAAUAAUCACUCAAAACUUUGUUGUAAAAAUAGAACCCUACAAAAUUACAGUUCAUUCUCUAGUCUCAACAAUUCAAAAGAAGAAAGAAAACUCCCAUCUCAAUAUGGGCACUACACAGUUUCUUCCUCUCCCCAUUAAGAAGAUCAUCAACCGCAAACAAUCUCCAUAUAUUCCAUGGCCACGCAUAGCACUGUCCAUUGGAUUUGCGAUCGAUGGUCUUGGUCGUUGGCGGAGGCCUUCCUCAAUGGUGUGGCCGAACUCGAUCUGCGGGUGAGGUCAAGAUACCGCUUUGGUCCUAGAGGUUUGGUAUAGGGUCUCACAUAAGGAAAAUGGACGAAAAAUUAAGUGAAGGCAGAGAACCCAUAGACAAAGAGAAGCGAAGUUUGUGCCCCAAGCUACUCACUAUGCGCACGUGGUUUCGACACUAGAUGCUGUUUGUUAUUACCAACCAUUUGUAGGCAGUUUGAUUGUUCUAACUAAACCUGGGCAAACGCCUGGUCGGGCCGGGCUUGUAAAAGCCUAACCUUCAUUUCUCAAGCCUGGCUCGAAGCCCAAAAUACUCUCUGUUUUCAAGACCGAGCCCGGCCCGAAAUCAAGCCCGGCUCGGACGCUGUUUUUAUUGUACGCACGUGCAAGCCUGGCCCAAAGCCCGAAAGCCCGGCCCGAAAUACAGAUAAAGAGAAGCCUGAGCUCGGCCUGAACUAUCUUCCAGGUUGCAAAACAAGGCCCGAGCCCACCCCGAAUGUCAAGCCCGGCUGGGCCCUGUCUGUUCAUGCCCGAGUUUAGUUCUAACCCCCACCAGUCUCGGCCUCUGCAUCAAGCGAUGCACACAGUCAUUUAUUAAAAAGUAUCGGGUCUCAAAGUAUGAGUAACAUCUCAAAUUGCCAAACAAGAACAAGAAAUCAAACAAAUAGUUACAACUGGUAAAAUAGGACUAUGCCUGAACACCUAUCUUAUUAACGGACCACCAUCUAAACAGGUUGUAGUAGCCCGUGCAACCAUCUCCCAUGGGUUGCACCCAAAAACCAUAAGCCCGCUCUCUACCACACGGUGCAGUAAUGACCACUUAGGGAUCCAGCCAGUUGCCUGGUAGAUAACCUGCAAAAAGCCUGUGCUAUUUGUCUUGUUAAAAACACAAUCAUUCCGAUAGUUCCAAAUAGCACAAAUUAAUGCACAAACUAAUUUGUGUCGUAAUAUUGGGCUCAACCCCACCUAGCCAGUUACCAAACAAAUUGGAGAUAAUAUUAAGAGGAGGUACGUUCAAUGACACUUGUAUUGUUCGUCACGAUAAGUUGGAUAUGGGGCAAGUGAGAGACAAAUGUUGAGUCGUUUCAUCAUGAUCGCAAAACUACACCGUUUACUCCCCUCCCACCUACGUUUUAAGCCAACUCUAACCGAUCCCCUACAAAAUAGAUGAGGAUCCGUCCGAGCAAAGCUUGGUGGAUUAUAUUUACUCCACUAACUUUUGGCCGGACAUAGUCGAUCCUCUAAAUAUAACAGAGUAAAACUUUUAAUUGGCUUAUUAUGCAAUUCGUUGAACAUGGUGUGCGUCUGCUUGGGGACUCCGACAUGGCGAGCACCCCGACGGCGAGGAACACGGAUUAAACACAUAGCUGACCAGGAUGCAGAUGUUGACAAAAACUGCCACCAAGAUGGCAAGCCAGCCAUUGCCAAUUGCAGCGUGUUGCUUCUGCUGGCAAGCUAAACAUUGCUAAUCACCGGCCAGCACGGCUUGCUACUCGCAUGAUCCUGCUCGUCCUGCACCCCGCCUCGUCCCCCAUCGCGUGUUGCAGCUCCUGUUGCUUCCCCCUGAGGCCUUGUUUGGUAGAGGUGGAUUGAGGAGGUUUUGAGAGGUGGGGAUUGAAGAUGAUUUGGUGAAUCCUUCCCUUUCACCCAAUCCUCUUAAAUUCCCCCAUUUCCCCAAACCCCUCACAUACCCCUACUAUUUGGUACAUAGGGAUUGGUACACUGGGUUUGCAAGAUUACUAUACUAUAGUUAAAAAUGCAAUUUUGACAACUUCCAAAGCUCAAAGAAUCAGUGGCACUCAGAAUCUUUGCUGCAGCCUCAGAUGAUUAAUAUUACCAAGCUAACAUUAAGCAGUGGCACCCAUGGCAAGAAAUGAAACUAGCAAGAUGGAUGCAAGAAUAAGAGGAGAUAAUUAUUAACUGGUGUAAAACAAUCAAGAUAUAACAAGCAUAUUAUCAUGGAGGACUAAAAAUGUAAUGUAAGAGUGAAAACUACAAAUGAUGCGAUAAUACUGAAAUUUCAUUUGUAGAUGACUUUGUACAGGGUAAGUUUCAUGCACAUAAAGCAUCCAAGAUCAUGAUUUCCUGGUGUUUGGGGGACAAGAAAAUACGUGAGAAUUAGGUUCUGAAAAGAAGAAGAAAAUACAGGCGACAGUGCAUUUAUUCAGAGCUUGUUCCUCAAACAAACAAGAAUUGGCCAAUUGAAGAGUUUGCAAUGGAGACAAGGCCUUGAUUUAGAGCAGUUAAUUAGUCCCAAUAUAUUCAGGUGAUAGGUAAUGAUGAGAAGGAUUCACAAAGCAAGCUAGCAAGAUUCGAAUUCAGGCGACAGGGAGCACCGAUUGGGUGGCUUCCAACUUUCCUAGACCCUGACAACGAUUAUCCAUCAAACGAUAUAUCCAUCCAUCCAACGAUUUUCCAUCUAGUGCUACAUAUAUCUCUAGAUAGGCAGAUCCACGACAGGGAUUGACAGCAGUCACCAGGUGGAGCUGGAUACGCAUGGAGCUGGACAAGUUCUUCACUCCAUGGGAGGAGGAAGAAGGCGUGUCCCCCGCCACGGACCUAGGGUUUGCAGGGGAGGGGAUGGAGAAGUGGAGGACUGGAGGAUUCAGCUCGGGAAGAACCGGUGGAGGAGCGCGUCGACGAUCUGGUGGCGGCGGGGCGAUGAAGAUCCGGCAGCGGGACUCCUCCUCUUGGUGGCGGCGGGACGAUGCUCUGUCUCGGUGCGUCUCGCCCGUCUCGUUCCCUGCGGGUGCCCUCGAGGCUUGAAAGACGCGUGGAUAGGAGGGGAUCGAAGGGGGAUCGAGGGGGUUGGGUUGUGCAAACCCCGUGAAACAAAUGGGCCGCCAAAGUUUGUCGAGGUUUUUGAGCCCCGCGGGGUUAAUCCUCUCGAAACCCUCUCGAUCCUCCUGUAUCAAACGAGGCCUGACGGAGGACUGCACCCCGCCACCGGGCUCGACCAUGUAGUGCCUGAAGGGCCUGAACUCCUCCGUUGGACAGGCCUAAGGAAAGCUGAAGCUAGAUGGCGUCGCCGACUGCCUGCGAGAUGGGCCCCGGCAGUGAGUGUGGUGCUGCGUGGCACGAUGGCAGCAUGAGCUGCAGCUUGAGGUCAUGCCGAAAGCUCAUGCCACAGGCGCUCGGGAUGGGACGUGGCACUAGGCGGCGACCCGAUGAAAAGCCAGUGGUGGAGGCGAGGUCGCUGGGGGAGGUGGGUGGCCUAGGCUGCGGGUGGUCACCUAGGGGUGCCGGAGGAAUAGGGUGGCCACAGAGUGGGGAUGGCGCGGUCUUAGGGGGUGGCCCCAGAUUUUACUCGGCCGCCUCCAGGAGGAGUAAAUUUAGGGGUUGGAUAGCCGGAUGAGUAAAAUUUAUCCACCCUAGUACUUCGGCUAUGUGCAGCAUAAAGAAGGAAAAUCCAAUUUAUCCUCCCUUAUAGCCCGAUAGAGGAUCGGUUAGACUUGGUCUUACUAAGUUGUCCUUUGUUAAAAUCACUCAUUAUGCAUGAAUAACCUAAAGGUCUUGAUUUUAAAGGGGCCUUUGCUUUUUAAACUUGAUUUCAGCACGUCCAAAGACCGGUUUGGGUAUUACAGGUGAUGUCGUUCUGUUUGUUCAUAACUGCUUCUAGUGCCCGUUUUUCCUACUAGUGAAUAUUGGUUUCGUGCAUCGAUUUGGGAUGAUUGCUUUGCUCAUGGUGUACUUCGGCGAGUCGGGGUCGCUGGUCGCCUGCGUGCAGCUAUGAAGUUAUUCGUGCAAUUUUUUUCUUAAUUAAUAAAAAUGAAAGUCUUUUACCAAUUUAACAAAUCAAUUAGCAUUAUGCCGAGGAGGGACUGAGGGAGGCCGGCCAAACUGGGGUUGACGAUUGCCGACGCGGCUAGGCGAGCUAGGCCAAAAACAAGGAGCGCUCACACAGACAGAAAUGGAGUGCACGCUGACUGACACUGCACUUACGCACAUCGGCACAUGGUCCUACCUAUACGUGUUAUCCUACGCACGCUCCGUGCCAACCCCGAUGGACGUCUGCCUCCUCUUAUCCGGUGCAGAGUCUAGUAGAGCGCCCGCCCAUCGCGUGCUCCCAUUUUAAUAUGACCAACGAGGCGACGCCACUGUACCUGUGCUCUGCCCCGCCGCACCGCCCCCCGGUUCUACCAAAACCACGGUCUUGCCUCCCACCGUAUCAACUCGCCAUCCUUCCCGCCCGCCGGUUGCGCGGUUUCCAGCAACCUAUAAAUCCCGCCGGAGCACCUUGCUCUGCCAAUCUUAGCUCAUCUCACUCACACUGCUUACUUGACUUCACUACCUAGCUCACUUCCUUCGGAUCUCGUGCCACCAAGCUCUCUUCCACGGCCACGAAGAUGUCUACGGUGACCGGUGCCCACCUAGACCAGAGGCUCGCCGCCGCCAAGCGCUGCUCCAGAGGUAACCAAAACGAUGUCCCGCCGGUCCUGCCGGACAGCAACGCUCGUGUCCUUCUGCUGUCCGCGUCGCAGCCUAUCCCCUCAAAACUUGAUCGUAACUGACAUGUCUCUGUUGAUUUGAAACUGCAGAGGCUGCCAUGGCGGGAGCCAAGGCCGCAGCCGUCGCCACCGUCGCUGCCGCAGUCCCCACAGUAAGUAGCCAUUCAGUUCUUCCACGAAAUCCUUGCACGGUUCAUAGCAUGUCUCAUGAAUGCGUUAUCUGUAACUUCAGCUGGCGAGCGUGAGGAUGCUGCCGUGGGCCAAGACGCACCUGAACCCCGCCGGGCAGGCGCUCAUCAUCUCCACCGUCGCCGGGAUGGCCUACUUCAUCGUCGCCGACAAGACCAUCCUCUCCAUGGCCAGGAAGCAUUCCUUCGAGGACGCGCCGGACCACCUCAAGAACACCUCCUUCCACUAAUUAGGCUAUACUUUCAAUAAUUAGUAGUAGUGCGCAAUAAACUACACGCCGGCCCGUACGGCCGUACGUGUCUGCUGAAUGAUACUAGUAUGAUGUUCAGCGAGAGAGGCGAGGCGAUGCAGAUCAGGCCUCGCGCUUCUAUCCGUGCAAGCACUUAUCUCAUGAAGUUACCAUGUAAUCCAGCUAGUAUUCUUGGAUAAAUGAAUACUAGUAUUUGUACAACUCUAGUUCAUCUGCCAUCACUCAUCUUACAUGUGGCAGAGCAUAAAAAAAGAAUCUCCGACGCCGACCCCUAAAACGGACACUAUACCCGUUUGUGAGCCGGUCAUUUGACGCUAAUCCAUCAAACGUCCAGGCACAUUUCAAAUAGAUUUUAAGCAAACUAGAUAAAGCUCAUAUAGAUCAAACGAUUUUCAUUUAAUCCAGGUCAAAUUCAUUACAUUUUAGAUAUAUUUCAACUAAACAAAACCGGACGACACUGUUUACCCCGGUCUAAAUAUUCGUCGGUCGUGGAGGCCUUCGUGUUCCGCAUCAUGUCUUUACCAUGUCCGGCAAGUUCAGUGGCCGCAAGCUUUUGUGAAGUGAAGUGGCCGGAGGGGAAGAAUAUAACAUCAUGUCUUUACCAUGUCUGGCAAGUUCAGUGGCCGCAAGCUUUUGUGAAGUGAAGUUGCCGGAGGGGAAGAAUAUAAGAUGGGACACGACUCACAUGGGACCCGAGACUUGCCCACAUCAUGUUCUUCCCGGCCAGAGUCCAUCAUGUGGACGUUGCCGGGCAUGGAUGGAUCGGCCUCGUGGCCAUUACGGUUAGGCACGAACCGUGCUAGCGGCGCGACCAACGAGGAACUGGCGACGUCUGUGAUGUUUCUGCCCCAUCUUCGUCCGUCUCCGCGUCGAUCUCCAUGAGCAGGGUGUUAAUCGCCUCUUGCAGGACGCAUUGCCGCCAUCGCUUGCGAGGGAUGUCGUGAACUGCGGCCAACGACCAUGAGGCGAGUCCAUUCAACAUUUCCGACACGGAGGUUGUCUCAUCUCCAACGACAAGUACAACCAGGAUAGUUUGAUCUAUGUACGAUGUAGUACGUGGUUUAAUUUUAUGUUCCAUGAUGUAGCAUAAAAAAAGUAGAGGAUGAGAUUUGAGGUUUAGAGUAUCUCUAGCAGACCCCGAAAACGAGGACCUGUAAACUCAGUUUAAAGUUCGCUCAUUGCCUCGGAUACGGGCCGAAAACCUCCGCGAAAGAACAGAAACCGUAAAUGGAACUGUAAAUUUUGAAUUCAAGACUUCGCGGAAGAAAUAGAAGAGUUCAUAGUUCUUGAUCAGCAUACAUAGUUCAUACAUACACUAAAUUACACUAAAUAGCUAGGAGGAUAGGCAGCCACCGUAACCCUACAGUUAAAAAUUGGCUCAUCGGAGCCAUCAUGGUGCGGUGGCGACACUGCGGCGGCGGACAUCAUCAGUCGUCGGAAACGAGGUCGACGUAGAUGUCGUCCCGCGCCUUCUUCUCGCGGCGCCGUGUGUCUUGGUUGUCGACGAACUCCUUCUUCGCGAGCUCCUGCUCGAGGAGGACAUCGUCGAGGUUCACAAGGGAUUGUCGGCGCCCCUCCUCCUCCCCCCGCACACUGUGCACCAUGAUUGCCCACUCGAAGAUGUCCGCNNNNNNNNNNNNNNNNNNNNNNNNNNNNNNNNNNNNNNNNNNNNNNNNNNNNNNNNNNNNNNNNNNNNNNNNNNNNNNNNNNNNNNNNNNNNNNNNNNNNNNNNNNNNNNNNNNNNNNNNNNNNNNNNNNNNNNNNNNNNNNNNNNNNNNNNNNNNNNNNNNNNNNNNNNNNNNNNNNNNNNNNNNNNNNNNNNNNNNNNNNNNNNNNNNNNNNNNNNNNNNNNNNNNNNNNNNNNNNNNNNNNNNNNNNNNNNNNNNNNNNNNNNNNNNNNNNNNNNNNNNNNNNNNNNNNNNNNNNNNNNNNNNNNNNNNNNNNNNNNNNNNNNNNNNNNNNNNNNNNNNNNGGCGUGCGGGGACUGGACCCCCGAUGGAGGAGGAGCCCGCACCGGCGGUCGUACUCCUCCAUCUCACGGAGGAGGAGCGACUCCAGGGAGUGGAGGUCGUGGUUGGUGUACUUCUUUGCCGCGCGCUUCCUCGCGCCUUCAGCUCGGACACGCCGCUGGCGCUCGGGGUCGUCCCUCCCGCCGAAGCUGCGGCCGGAGCUCCACAUUCCGCCCCACAUAGUGGCAUUCGGUGGCGGGACUGGACUCACCGGCGACGAGAAAUAGAAGGGGGAUUGGGGAGGAUUGGGGAAUCGCGGCGGCGGGGGAUAGGGUUUCGACCCGUAUCGGCGCCGCGAACCCGUAGAUAUACCGCGUCCGGGGACGGCUUGCGGGCCACCAUAAAAUGUUUUACGGGCCGGGCGAGAAUACGGGCUCUGUUCUGGACAAAAAAAAUGGGCGAGCCCGUACAGUCGUCGGGAUUUUACGGGUCUACGCGUUUUGAGGGGUCUGCUACAGAUGCUCUUAUGGUUGCAGCGAAAGAUAAAUGAAGGGUGACCCGGCUCUGUCCAGGGAUGGGUCCAGAUGCAUUUGCGAACAUAUGGGGUCACUUUUGAAAUAUGCAGCUGUAGAUAUUGUAACAUUACCAAGAUUUUCACGGAAUUGUAUCGGGAUGCUUUUGUGUGUGGAAAAGAAUAACUAGUUUCCUACCUCUUCAUCUUUUUUUUGCAGGAAAGACUAAAAUAAAUCUAGAAAAAUGCAAUCACCAAUGCCAAUUCUAGAAUUGGAAUCUUGGUGGGCUAGGAUACCACUGUUCUCCUAACCAUCGAAUCAUUUGCUUCUGCCUUUUCAUCUUAAUAAUUCACACAUCCAUAUUUAUAUUUAUUAUAAACAAUUGUGAGUAGGAGUAAUAAAAUUCAGCACAAAUCAAUCAGUGGCGGGAGAAACAACGCCACAACCGGUGUAGGCAAACAUGCCUACACAAAAAGCAUAAUAUUGCAUCAUCUAUCCUACGUGAAAUGUUAAGUUAUUUUUAAUUAAAGAUAAAUUAUUUGCCUCAUCUAUUAAGUAAGAAAAGACAUGGGAGGAGCGUUUUGGCUACUGGGAGCAUUUACUCCUGGAUGAGCGGUACCGCCAAAAAGGUUGUAAAUCGUUUUUAAAAAAUUCUGAUUUUUUAUGGAUGUUCGUGUUAGUGUCGCAACCUUGCUUGACAAAUUUCAUGCGAUUCGGAAUAUCAGUGUUUCAUCGGUGAAAAACCAAAUUUGGGGUGACAUUUUGGGGCAGCAUUUGAUGUUCAUAUUUGUUUUGUUUUCAUAGGCCAAAAUGUUUAACCUUUUUGCCCAAAACUUUGCAGUAGCAUUUGGAUCUAAGUAUAAAUACAUAAAAUAAUUGUUGGAAUUUUUGUAACAUUUCAAAAAAUUGUUUUUCACACGCAGGAGCACAUGCUCCUGGGAGCCAAAUUGGAUUUCCGGAGAAUGACUCUAAAUAAAAUAAAAGGACAAUAGAGUGUGUGUUAGAAGCCGAAAAUGUGCUCAUUUUUAUUGUAUUCAUUUGAUGCUUUAUUUUGAGUAAUAUAAAAAGCACGAUGGUGAGGCCGACCCCGCCAAACAAAGGAUCAGGCGCUCGCGGAAUUGGAUCGCCGACGGGUUGACCGUAUACUGGGAGCGCCCACACAGGUCGCCAACAAACGGAGUGCACGCAGACAGAUACUGCUCUCACGCACAUGCUCCUACGUGUUAUCCUACGCACCAACACGCUCCCCGGCAACCCCGAUGGGUCGAUCCGCUGCAGAGCCCGCCACUUGUGUUCUGCCGCACCAAAAAAACCACGGUCUUGCUGGCUUCCCACCGUAUCAGGUCGUCUUCCUGCCCGGCCGCACGCUGGUUGAGCGGUUUCCUGCAACCUAUAAAUCCCGCCGGAUCACCUCGCUCUGCCCAUCUCAUCUCACUCGCAUUCACUCAACUGAUACUACUAGCUAGUCCACUUCCUUCGGAUCUCUUGCCACCAAGCUCUGCUCCCGCCAAGAUGUCGACGGUGACCCGCGCCUACCUCGACCAGAGGCUCGCCGCCGCCAAGCGCUGCUCCAAAGGUAACGGUUCGGGCCUCAGGCCAGCACUGCUCUGCUCGUAUAUCCCACCCAUUGCAGCCUAUGCUUGUGCUGAAACCUGACCUGGAUUAACAUUUCCCUACGUUGAUCCGAAACUGCAGAGGCUGCCAUGGCGGGAGCCAAGGCGGCGGCCGUCGCCACCGUCGCUGCCGCAGUGCCCACAGUAAGUAGCCGUUCAGUUCUUCAGUUCCAGAGUUCAUAGCACAUAUCUCAUGAAUGCGUCACCUGUAAUUUCAGCUGGCGAGCGUGAGGAUGCUGCCGUGGGCGAAGGCGCACCUGAACCCGACCGGGCAGGCCCUCAUCAUCUCCACCGUCGCCGGGAUGGCCUACUUCAUCGUCGCCGACAAGACCAUCCUCUCCAUGGCCAGGAAGCACUCGUACGAGACGGCGCCAGAGCACCUCAAGAACACCUCCUUCAACUAAAUUAGACAGUAGAUCCAUUAGUAGUGCGCAAUAAACCAUGUACGCCCGUCGCCAGUCGGCCUUUAGCCCUGUAUAAUGUUCAAUUGUUCAGUGAGGUGCGAUCAGGCGAGGCGAUACCUGCAGCGCGAAUGGUGGUGUACUGCUGUUCUCUGCGAGCAAUAACUAAUUAUGUGACAGUGAUGUAUGGAAUAAUGUGGCCAUGUUCUCCAUCUUGUCAUCUUUCCAGGGAUCGUGAAUUAAUAACAACCAGUUUUUGUACUACAACUUUGGUUCAAGUGCACUCACUCAUCGCACUUAUUUAUUGUUUGUGAUUACCAUUUGACAUGCGUCGGAGCAUUGCAAAAAACAGAGAGAACACUAGACUACUACUUUCUUCGUACCGGUGUAUUAGUCAUCUAAGUUUAUGCAUCGUGAUCAAGACAGAGGGGAAAACAAGAUAACUUAAUGUUUAUUAGCUAAUCAAUAUUAUUGCAUGUCGUGCUAGACAGUCUUAAGUCAUUAAAAGCAUACACGUCUCAUAUGUCUUUUAUAGGUUGAUUCCUUUAUUCAUAUUAAAAAACAAGAAAGGAAGUGGGAGUUAAGUACCACGUCUAAGUGUUUUAGAAUUACUUGGUUUUGGAAUGUGCCUUAAUGCACCAGUAUGGAGGGAAUAGUUCAUUCAUUAGAUACCAUACUACUCUCCUCUGUUUUGUCCCGAAAUGCACUUGAGGAUCAUGCCACCUGACCUCACACUUUAAAUCUUUUGAUACGGCUUAUUGGAUGCCUUGGCAAAUAAGGAUGGAAAAUUUAGCAGUUUUGAAACAAGCUUUGUGUACUAGUGGAGUCCCCCUGCUUAGGUUUGAGGUGUUUCUCGAGACCAGAGACACGUCAACAUUUUUCUUGGUCGCGAGUUGAUAUACAUUCAUAUCGCAUCCGCGUGUAAGUGUGCAUGUGAGAUAUCCAAAAAAUAGAAACAUAUGUAGAAUCUACGAAAGUUCCCUCUUGUUGGGUUGGAUUUAAGGCUUUAAAACUAUGUGUGUUGAUAGAGACAAAGGUGUCCCGUCUUUCGAUAAGAUGAAGGAUAUCGCUUUGGUGGAAGUCGACUUUGACGAUCCGACUACGAACGUGCGAGGACGUCGUGCAUUAGCAAUCGCUAAACCAACUCCGAGAGGUUAUUGACCACGCAGGAGCACGAUCAACCUGACCACGAGGGUCUGUUUCCUGCGAGCAAACGAAGAACAAACAAGAAACUGAGAUUGUAAUCUCGAUAUUGCGAAUAUAAGAUGAAAGCUUUAUGGAUCAAGGUGGGGUUCUGUGACGCCUUUGUCUGGUCGUUGAACACAAACGAAGUACGCGAAGUUGCAGCUAUGACGAACUUUAAUCUAAACAAAACCUCAAAGUCUAAACGGUGCCCUAAGGGCUGUAUAUAUGGAGGAAGAGAGGGGGAAUUUCGUGGCCCUUGGUGGAGGGGUCCGAAAUCAACCCUAUCUCUUGUUUCCCCACACAUACGGACUCUAAAAAUAUCUUAUACGUAUGUAUUUCGAAAUUACAUGGGCCCGGCCCAAUAAAAAGGUGACACAACACCUAUAAUAGCCUCUGGACGAAAUUUAUGAAGUGACAUCUUGUAUAUUUCAUCCAAGGCUUCAUGCACUCGUUAUGGUGGCUUCAAAGACCUGAAAUCAUCACUUGUAACUCCGUUCUUGUUCCCCUUGCGCAUGCCAUCAUCUCCAUGCUUGGUCUUGCUCCAAUGUUCAUCCUUCUUCAAGCUAGGCCCUUCAUUUGUAAGCAAAACAAAUGUAUCCAAUUUAGGCAGCAUCAUAUUCUCAUGAACAUUAGAAUCAUUACCAAGAAAUGAAAGUACCUGGUAAUUUAGUUGGCGUGCGCGAGCUCUAGUAAUUGGUCCAGUAUGUAUAGCAGCAGGGGCAGUGGGUGUAACAAUGGUAUUGAUGUCCUCAUCAUCCUCCCCUUCUUGAAAUGAAGUCGUCCUCGACGGAAGCUCAUCUUCCUCACCCAAAUAAGGCUUCAAAUCUGCAAUGUUAAAAGUGGGACUAACCCCAAAAUCUGCAGGCAACUCAAGUUUAUAUGCAGUAUCAUUUAUUUUCUCUAACACAUUAAAGGGACCAUCAGCACGUGGCAUGAGCUUUGAUUUGCGCAAAUCAGGAAAUCUAUCCUUACGCAAAUGUAACCAAACAAGAUCUCCAGGUGCAAACACAACAUGUUUUCUACCCUUAUCUCCAGCAAGUUUAUAUUUGGCAUUCAUACGCUCAAUGUUUUCCUUAGAUAACUCAUGCAUUUUUAAAAUCAAUUCAGCACGUUGUUUAGCAUCAAAAUUAACCUUCUCCGAAGAUGGAAGAGGCAACAAAUCAAUAGGUGCACGAGGUAGGAAACCAUACACAACUUCAAAAGGGCACAACUUAGUAGUAGAAUGCAAUGAACGAUUAUAAGCAAAUUCAAUAUGAGGCAAGCAUUCCUCCCACAUUUUCUUAUUACUCUUCAAAACAUCCCUAAGUAUAGUAGACAAUGUUCUAUUGACUACUUCAGUUUGUCCAUCAGUUUGGGGGUGACAAGUAGUACUAAAAAGCAGUUUAGUCCCCAACUUAGCCCAUAAACAUCUCCAAAAGUGGCUAAGAAAUUUAGUAUCACGACCUGAAACAAUAGUAUUUGGCACAUCAUGCAAGCGAAUAAUUUCACGAAAGAACAAAUCAGCAACAUUAACAGCAUCAUUGCUUUUAUGACAUGGUAUAAAGUGUGCCAUUUUCAAGAAUCUAUCCACGACAACAAAUAUGCUAUCCCUCCCCUUCUUUGUUCGAGGUAAACCUAAAACAAAGUCCAUAGAUAUAUCCUCCCAAGGAACACUAGGUACAGGCAAAGACAUAUAUAAACCAUGAGAAUUGAGUCGUGACUUAGCUUUUUGACAUGUAGUGCAGCGAGCAAUAAAACGCUCAACAUCCCGUCUCAUCUCUGGCCAAAAGAAAUGUGUAGCAAGUACGUCCUCCGUCUUCUUCACGCCAAAGUGUCCCAUUAAUCCUCCUCCAUGCGCCUCCUGCAACAACAAAAGACGAACGGAGCUAGCUGGAAUGCAUAGCUUGUUAGCACGAAACACAAAUCCAUCGUUAACGACAAACUUGUUCCACAUUCUUCCUUCUUUACAAUUCUGCAUUACAUCUUUAAAAUCAGCAUCAUGCACAUAUUGAUCUUUGAUGGUCUCCAAACCAAAUAUUUUGAAGUCAAGUUGUGAAAGCAUAGUAUAGGGACGAGACAAUGCAUCAGCAAUAACAUUUUCUUUUCCCUUCUUGUGUUUAAUGACAUAAGGGAAAGUCUCAAUGAAUUCAACCCAUUUAGCAUGUCUACGAUUCAGUUUAGCUUGACUUUUAAUAUGUUUCAAAGAUUCAUGAUCAGAAUGUAUAACAAAUUCUUUGGGCCAUAAAUAAUGUUGCCAUGUUUCUAAAGUCCGAACAAGAGCAUAUAAUUCUUUAUCAUAAGUAGAAUAAUUCAGACUAGGCCCACUCAAUUUUUCAGAAAAGUAUGCAACAAGUUUGCCAUCUUGUAAUAACACACAUCCUAAUCCAAUUCCACUAGCAUCACAUUCAAGCUCAAAAGUCUUAUUAAAAUCAGGAAGUUGGAGUAAAGGAGCAUGUGUCAACUUAUCUUUCAAUACCGUGAAGGCUUCUUUCUGUGCGGUACCCCACAGAAAAGGCACAUCUUUCUUUGUAAGCUCAUUGAGAGGUGCAGCAAUGGUGCUGAAAUCUCUUACAAAACGCCUAUAGAAUCCAGCGAGGCCAACAAAACUCCUCACUUGUGUGACCGUUUUGGGCUGCGGCCAACUCUCAAUAGCUUCAAUCUUGGCUUUAUCAACUUCAAUCCCAUGUGGAGUAACAACAUAGCCAAGAAAAGAUACUCGGUCGGUGCAAAAGGUGCACUUCCCAAGGUUACCAAACAAACAUGCAUCACGUAGAGCAAUAAAAACAACACGUAAAUGUUCCAAAUGUUCUUCCAAAGAUCUGCUAUAAAUCAAUAUGUCAUCAAAGUAAACUACCACAAAUCGUCCAAUGAAAGCACGUAAAACUUUGUUCAUUAAUCUCAUGAAAGUACUAGGUGCAUUAGUUAACCCAAAAGGCAUGACUAACCACUCAUAUAAUCCAAACUUAGUUUUAAAUGCUAUUUUCCAUUCAUCUCCCAAUUUCAUACGAAUUUGAUGGUAUCCACUAGGCAAAUCAACUUUGGAGAAUAUUGUAGAGCCACUCAAUUCAUCAAGCAUAUCAUCUAGCCUAGGAAUAGGAUGACGAUAACGAAUAGUAAUAUUAUUAAUGCCUCUACAAUCAACACACAUACGUGAUGUACCAUCCUUUUUCGGCACUAGAAUAAUAGGAACAGCACAAGGACUAAGGGAUUCGCGUAUAUAACCUUUGUCGAGAAGCUCUUGUACUUGACGCAUACUCUCCUUCGUCUCCUCUUGAUUGGUACGGUAUGGCGCACGGUUUGGCAGUGAAGCACCGGGAAUUAAGUCAAUCUGACGCUCAAUCCCUCGAAUAGGCGGUAAUCCCGGUGGCACGUCUUGUGAAAAGACGUCAGCGAACUCCUGCAAAAUGUUAGUGACAGCAGGAGGCAAAGAGGAAGGCACGUCCUCAAAUGAAAAUAAUGCCUCUUUGCACACAAAAGCAUAGCAAACAGAUUUGCUGAAAUCUAGCUCAUCAAUAUCAGAUUUGGUGGCAAAUAAACAUGCACUUUUCAAUUUAAUUUCAGAAGCAACACUAGAUGGUUUAUUAUUAGGCUUCAUUUGUUGCUCAAAUUCUUUUGCCACAAUCUGAUUUUCACUCUUAUUCUUCUCCUGUUUUGCUUUAUCAGCUCUAUUAAUAUCAUCUUUCAAAAUGGAAUCAGGAGUCAUAGGAAGCAAAGUAAUUUUUUUAUCCUUAUGAACAAGAGUAUAGUGAUUGUUUCUACCAUGGUGUACAGAAUUUUUAUCAAAUUGCCAUAGUCUACCAAGUAAUAAGAAACAUGCUUGCAUAGGUACCACAUCACAAUCAACAUAAUCAACAUAUGUAGAGAUACUAAAAUGCACACGAACAGUACGUGUUACCUUAACCUUGCCGCUGUUGUUGAACCAUUGGAUGUAGUAAGGAUGUGGAUGUGGUCUUGUGGUGAGAGAAAGCUUCUCCACCAUCUCCAUGCUAGCCAAGUUGUUGCAGCUCCCUCCGUCUAUGAUGACGCGCACAGAAUGUUCCUUCACAACUCUCUUGGUAUGGAACAAAUUGUGCCUCUGAUUUUGCUCAGCUUGUGUGACCUGCACACUCAAAACACGUUGAGCAACUAAACAUUCAUAUAUGUCAGCGUCUUCAGGAGCCAUGUAUUGCGUCUCAUGAUCAGAAUCAUCUCCACCAUGUUCUUCACGUGUAAUAAGAGCCAAAGUCUCCUCAUCAUAGUCACUAGCGGACUCAUACCCACCAUCCUCAGUAGCAAUCAUCACACACUGAGAUUUGCAUUCUCGCGCAUAAUGACCUCUUCCCUUACAACGACGACAAAUAAUAUCACUUGUGUGCCCUGUUGAUCCCAUGGAAGAAGAAGAGCUCUAUGCAGGCCCGACAGGUGCGCUCUUGGCAGAUGAUGGUGGUUGUGCCUGCUUUCUUGUAUCAUGGCUGGAGAUGGCACCUGAUGGAGUUGCUGGUGUAGUGGAAGUAGAAGAUGCACGCGGUGUCCAUGAAGAAGGUCGACCUGCAGAAAAGUUAGUGCGCGCCAUUGCUUGUCAAUCAUGCACUUCACGUUCAGCUUUACAAGCAAGAUGGAAUAAACGAGUGAUAUUAGUAUACUCCUUAUAUUCUAGAAUAGUCUGAAUCUCUCUAUUUAAUCCACCCGUAAAACGCGCAAGCAUAGCUUCAUUCUCCUCAACAAUACCACAUCUAAUCAUGCCAGUUUGUAAUUCCUGAUAAUAUUCCUCUACAGAAAUUUUUCCUUGUCUUAAACGCUGCAAUUUUUGAAGCAAUUCACGUUGAUAAUAUGGUGGAACCCAACGAGUACGCAUAGCAGUUUUCAAAGCAGCCGAAGUAGCUGGAAUAGGAUAUAAUCUACAAUGUUCAGACCACCAUACACAUGCAAAACUAGUGAAAGCACAAACAGCAGCAGCAACCCGUCUCUCCUCGAGAUAUUGUAAACAUGUAAAACGUUGUUCAGUUUCUAACUCCCAUGUAAGAUAUAUAUCAGGAACAUAUCUACCCUCAAAUGGUGGAAUAUUCAUUUCAGUUUGGGAAUAUGGACAUCAUCUCGUACCUGAGGUGGUGGUGCAGACCUACCAUUACGAAUAUAUACCUGAGGUCGACCUGCUGGUGGUGGUGCUGGUGGUUGCACGUAGUUUUGAUUUUGAUCAACCUCAUCCUCAUAAUCGCCCGCAUACUCAUCAUCCUCCUGGGUACCAGCAGCAGCAGUAGCAUGAGCCAAAGAAGCAUCAACAACAGGAACAACAACACCAGAAGUUUGGCCAUCCUCAAUAGGAACACGCUUCGCUUGUCCAUACUGAUUCGGAAGGAGGCGUUGUUGUUGUUGUUGCAGAGGUGCAAUAGGUGCAGCCGGCGGUGGUUGUGGAAAACGCGCGAGCAAUUCAUUAAACUUGCUAUCAAGCUUUGUUUUGAACGUCUUCUCAAUGCCAUCUAUCUUCUCCAUGGCCUCGUCAAAUCUGUUUCGCACAUCUUGCACCUAUCCACUCAUCAUUUGUUGAAAUUUAUCAUGUAGCUGUUUGUUCGUCAGGUUCUCCCAAUCAGUCUAAUCGGCUUGUGAUCCUGGCAUGGUUAGCAGCAAUAGAAACACAAAAUAAUAUGAUUCUACAGACUACUAGGAAGCGGUGGUGGUGGUGGUGUGUCACAAAUCCUUCAAGCGAAUUUUAAAUUCUUACCAGUUCUUACCCAGCAGCAGGUGGUGAUCGGCAACCGUUAUAGUCAAAACUCUCAAAGCUUGGAUAGAGCGAUUACCAGGGAGAAUCAAACGCACGACGUAGAUGUAUGUGGAGCUGGAAAGGCUUAUAAUAUGGUAGCAAAAAGGGUCAGCAAUAAUCAAUUCAGAGAUGCAAAGUUGAAUAAACGCUCAACGACGGUACUGUGCUGGUCCUAGGCUAGACUGUGCUAGAGACACGAGCCUAGAACACUAACAAAAUCACGGCGCUGCACGUAAACAAGGGAGGAGCAUACUCUGAAUUUUUUCUCUCUUUUUUUUGCACUUUUUUCUUUUUUUUUGCUUCGCAACAAUUUUUUUGAAAAAGUCUACAAAUGGUCUAGAAACUGCCUAGCCAGAAUUUUCCAGACUUAGUUUUUUUAAACUGGAGCUAUUUUUCUACUGCGGGUAACACGAAAGUUCGGGAGUCCUUGUCUAUCACGACUCGGAGUAUGGCGUGAUCUGGAAGUCGAAAACAAAGCAACAAAUACUGGACUCGGACUAGGACUGGUGGCGGAGAUGAAUCUGGUGGAACUCGGACUGGUGGUGAAGAUGAAUCUGGUGGAACUCGGACUGGUGGCAGAUAUAUGUUGCAGGUGGACUCGGAUUAGCGUGAUGGAGGUGGAUAUGUGGUAUAUGGCUGCAGUGAUGUCGAUGGUGGUAGAUGGCAGCGGUGAUGACGAUGGUGGUAUAUGGCAGCGGUGAUGAUGAUGGUGGUAUAUGGCAGCGGUGAUGACGAUGGUGGUAUAUGGCAGCGGUGAUGAUGAUGGUGGUAUAUGGCAGCGGUGAUGAUGAUGGUGGUAUAUGGCAGCGGUGAUGACGAUGGUGGUAUAUGGCAGCGGUGAUGAUGAUGAUGCGGCAGCGGCAUGACAACUUGUGAACAGAACUCGAAACUCUAAAGGACUAGACACUAAGACCAGCAACUAGACACGACGAUGCAACCGCAAAUUCAACAACGCAAAUACAGAAGAGAUCAUGCAAUGGCUCAGACUGGUUCGGAUAUGAUGAACUAACCCUAAAUUUUUUUGUGGCUUUUUCGUGGACUAUAGGUAUGAAGAAAAGACUCGAUCUAAACUACGAAAAACUGUAAAAUCUCAACGAGCAACCUGGAAAUUUGAUACCACUUGAUAGAGGCAAAGGUGUCCCGUCUUUCGAUGAGAUGAUGGAUAUCGCUUUGGUGGAAGUCGACUUUGACGAUCCGACUACGAACAUGCGAGGACGUCGCGCCUUAGCAAUCGCUAAACCAACUCCGAGAGGUUAUUGACCACACCAGAGCACGAUCAACCUGACCACGAGGGUCUGUUUCCUGCGAGCAAACGAAGAACAAGCAAGAAACUGAGAUUGCAAUCUGGAUAUUGCGAAUAUAAGAUGAAAGCUUUAUUGAUCAAGGUGGGGUUCUGUGACGCCUUUGUCUGGUCGUUGAACACAAACGAAGUACGCGAAGUUGUAGCUAUGGCGAACUUUAAUCUAAACAAAACCUCAAAGUCUAAACGGUGCCCUAAGGGCUGUAUAUAUGGAGGAAGAGAGGGGAAAUUUCGUGGCCCUUGGUGGAGGGGUCCGAAAUCAACCCUAUCUCUUGUUUCCCCACACAUACAGACUCUAAAAAUAUCAUAUACUUAUGUAUUUAGAAAUUACAUGGGCCUGGCCCAAUAAAAAGGUGACGCGACACCUAUAAUAGCCUCUGACGAAAUUUAUUAAGUGACAUCUUGUAUAUUUCGUCCAAGGCUUCAUGCACUCGUUAUGGUGGCUUCAAAGACCUGAAAUCAUCACUUGUAACUCCGUUCUUGUUCCCCUUGCGCACGCCAUCAUCUCCAUGCUUGGUCUUGCUCCAAUGUUCAUCCUUCUCCAAGGUAGGCCCUUCAUUUGUAAGCAAAACAAAUGUAUCCAAUUUAGGCAGCAUCAUAUUCUCAUGAACAUUAGAAUCAUUACCAAGAAACGAAAGUACCUGGUAAUUUAGUUGGCGUGCGCGAGCUCUAGUAAUUGGUCCAGUAUGUAUAGCAGCAGGGGCUGUGGGUGUAACAAUGGUAUUGAUGUCCUCAUCAUGUGUUGAAUUUGUUAAGUAAGAGCUUCUACAACCGGAGCUCCCAUAUCCGUCCUAAACUUAUCAAAUUGCUUAAUCAGAUCUCUCUGUGUUACUAUGGUAGCAUCUAAAGGCAUUUGACAGGAAAACAUGUCACUAAUUGUCAAGCUACCAUCGGGUAGGCGAUCGGUGUGACACCCAUGCUGAAUCUUCAAUAACUUCAUGGAGCUGCUGGGUGGCACCAACCUACGCAAAGUAGCAUAGCAUGACCACGCUAUUCGCAACACAAAAGGAGAAUCACAAAACAACACAAGACAAUGGUUUAUUUCUUUACCCAAUAGGAGAAAUGACACCUUCACCAGGCUCCAGAGGCCGCCGUACCAUGCCGCCGAGAUCCGGGCGAAUGGAGGUCGUGGAAGCAACAAUGCGGUGACAGAUCAGCGGGAGGACAAGACUCGAGGUGGUGGUGAAAAGGAGGGUCUAACAACCAAAAUUUAGGGACGUGUCACUAUAGAGCACUGCAGGUGAGCCCGCAGUGGAGAAAGACAUGAAUCAGAGGGGCAAAAUGGGAAUUGUGGCCCCAAUGGCGGGCCCCCACAUCGACGGACACUCAAAGGGUCUUGUCGCCAAUAUUGGUGGGCCCACGUCGGAGUGGAAAUGGAAAUUAUGGUGCAAUAUUUGGCCCGCACAUCACCCGAAAGGGUUAAUCGAGUCUUUUUGUGGCUGCAGUUGAUGUGGUGAAGUGAUGGGUCCAAAAUGGAAUGAAACAACGCAAAGUUGACGGCAACCGAUGGAGAUUACGUGCAGUUUCAUACACCAAUUUUUUUUCACAAUCGUUAGUGCCCGGACCGAAAUAUGGAAAAUUGAGUGGCAGAACUCGAAUAUACAACAUUGGCAGUGGCACAAACUGAUUCUUCCCAAAAGUAUAAUAUGAACUUUUUUUCAUGAUGGGUUUGGGGAUAUUGAUUGCUAUCAUACAUGUUAAUAUUUCCUUCUUAUAAACUAGAACAAAGUGUAAUCAAUCAAAAAUAAUAUGCACUCUAUUAUGAAAUUAGGGGAGUAAGCCCUAUCUAUAAGACAACAUGACCGUGGCUAUUGAUGAUUUCUCGGUAGACUAGUAAUGAAAUUUCAUAGGAUUUAAUCCCUCUGUUCCUAAAUAUAAUAUUUUUAGAGAUUUUAAUAUGGACUACAACGGAGCAAAAUGAGUGAAUCUACACUCUAAACUAUGUCUAUAUACAUCCGUAUGUUGUUUGUAGUGAAAUCUCUAGAAAGUCUUAUAUUUAGGGAUAGAGGAACUAUUUGCCAUUUAUUUGAAGAAAGAUAACUUUUAUCCAAAGAAAAAUGAAACAUGUCAAUUAAUGACAUUAAUUGGAUAGGGAUAACCUUGUUGCCACCACAUCUAUAUAAGGCGACUGGACGGUGCCCCUCAUGACCACAAAAACAUACUGGUUGACAGACUAUUGCAUAAUUAUAUAUUUUCUGUUGUUCUGUGUUCUUAGGCAAUGGCGAACAAUGGCAUCUUCGAAGUGAUCAUUGUUUUUCUCAUGGCGCAAGUCUGCUUGCUCAUGAUGAUGGCAACUAGCACAUGCAGCUGCUAGACCGGUGGGGUACAAUCCAGUGUGCUGCCCUAGGAACAUCUGUUGUUGCGGGUUCGGUAGCGGAUUGGCCAAUUCACCCGCACCAUCCAUUGUAUCUUGAUGUGUGGUUUUAUUUUCCCCCAAGUAGUAAGCUCAACAUAUAAUUGAUAUAUGUGGUUCAUGUGUUAUGUAAUCCUGAAUAUUUGUGAUGCUACUUUCAAGAGGUUAUUGUACUAGUUACUUACUUAAUAAAAUGGGAGGAUAUUAUUAUAUAUCUUGCUCGGAAUAUACCGCAAAGAGACUUAAGAUUAUGUUUACUUUAGUUCUUUUGGAAACUAGAUUAUUUUGCUGCAUUGAUUUAAGAAAAAAGAGUAACUAAGCAUACACGUUGACCUCAUGAGUCUGCAGUGUGUGCCUUUGGGAAUAUCUGUUUUAUCAUUCUGUUGGUCGUACAUUGUGUCAAGAUCAUCCGUGUCAUGGCGACAUGCUUUAUUUUCGUAGAGAACAUAAUUUUUUUAAACCAUUUAUUGGGUAAAGGAGUAUAUCACCAAUUAGUAGAAACCAACUACUAUUGGCAGGCUUUUUUUUGUUAAUUCAGGGAUGCACACUGUUUUGUUUUGCAUGAAUACCAAAGUCAUAUAUUGAAAUGGUCUUUUCCCCAACGGCAAUGGAUCCGGGCCAGGAUCGAAGCAGGCGCCAAAGACUUGAUUGCUUUUUAGUUUCAUCUGUUGGGGUCCUAUUUGCAAAGUUUCUCGCCUGGGCUAUAAUUUCUACUUACUGUUGGGUUCUUUUGUAAUAUGUUGCAUGCUUAUCUAAUUUAAGUCUGGGUUUCUUCCUCAGUUCAAAUAUAUAUAUAUAUAUAUAUAUAUAUAUAUAUAUAUAUAUAUAUAUAUAUAUAUAUAUAUAUAUAUAUAUAUAUAUAUAUAUAUAUAUGGUCCAACCCUUACAACACCAUCCUUCCAAAAGCAUAAAAUAAAACAUAUACCCUCGUGUAUAUCAACAACGCCUUUCUCCCGCACUCGCACCCCAUGGGCAAAGCUCGAUAUUGCAGUUGGAUAUCCAAAACGCCCUCACAGCCGGGGUAAAUCAUUCUCUGUGUGUGCUCAAUUCCUCAGAAAACAAUCAAAAAAUCAUACAUGAAUACAACUCUUUGCUCUUUUACGGAACGCAAAAGGAUUGUUUUGUUCUGGAUCCUAUAUGUGUAAUCUAUCUAUCUAAAUUAAUUAAAGAGAUCUCAUAAACUCCAACGGUUAAUCAGAAAUUAUGAAUUGUUCAUCUGGUGGGACCGAGUUUGGCACAAGGACCGUCGAAGGACCGGAAAAGGGGAGGGAAAUGGACGGAAACUAAAAUGAAGGCAGAGGACCAGUUGACAAAGAGAAGUGAAGACCCUGUCCUGAGCUACUCACUAAGUUUAGGCGGUUUCAAUAGUAGAUGCAGUUUCUUUUAUUACCAACCGCCUCCAAUACUUAUUGCAAGCGGUUAUGUUGUUCUAACCGCCUACGGUGUGAAUAUUACAGGCGACUUCGUUCUAUUUGAUCACAACCGCUUGUGGAGUCUACGUUGUGGGUGGAGUCUCCGUUGGUAGUUACAUCGGCCGAUGUGAUGUGUAUUGUCAUGUUCCAUGAUGAUAGUUUGUUGGGCGUGUUGUUAUGGUUUUUGCCCAAUUUUUCUAAAUUAGCUGGACAAUUUAUUUUUUUAAUUAAUGCAAGUAAAUGAUAAAUCUUUUGUCUUCCCCGCAAAAAAAAUAUAUCUUUUGUCUCGUUUAAUCUUUUGCCAAGCAACAAAGGUUUUGCACCGAACCAUUGGCGGAAUUGGCCUGAUUGCCGACGCGGCGAGCCGAGCUCUCCUACGCUGGUGGAAUUGGCUGAAAACUGGGAGCGCCCGCCCAAACAGAAACUUGGUGCACGCUGACAGACACUGCACUCACGCACAUGCUCCUACAUACUGUACGUGUUAUCCUACGGUGACAGACCUGCCAACCCCGAUGGAUCGAUCGAUGCCUCCUCUUAUCCUCUGCAGAGUGCAGUGGAGCGCCCGCCCUUCACGUGCUCUGUUUUCUAGGAGUAGUAGUAUAUGACCAACGACAACGAGCCGCCGCCACCUGUGCUCUGCGGCAGCGCCGGCCAUCCCGCCCGCCCGCCGCUCGUCUCAAAACCACGGUCUCGCUUCCCACCGUAUCAAAUCGCCUUUCUUCCCGCCCGCUGGUUGCGCGGUUUCCUGCAACCUAUAAAUCCAGUCGGAGAACCUCACCUGUCCAUCCAUCUCAUCUCAUCCAACUCACACUACUACUGAUCUCAGCUAGCCUAGGAGUACUCGAGUUUACUACCAGUUCAAUUCCUUCGGUACGAGGCUCUCUCCGGCGAAGAUGUCUACGGUGACCCGCGCCUACCUCGACCAGAGGCUCGCCGCCGCCAAGCGCUGCUCCAGAGGUAACCAAAACGAUAUGAUGUCGCGCCGGUCCUCAAGGGCACAUUGCAGCUUUCUCUACUGUCUCUGCUGAAACUUGAUCGUAACUAAAAUGUCUCUUUUGCUCCGGAACUGCAGAGGCUGCCAUGGCGGGAGCAAAGGCCGCGGCCGUCGCCACCGUCGCUGCCGCAGUGCCCACAGUAAGUAGCCGUUCAGUUCUUCAGUUCAGAGUUCAUAGCACAUAUCUCAUGAAUGCGUUACCUGUAAUUUCAGCUGGCGAGCGUGAGGAUGCUGCCGUGGGCCAAGGCGCACCUGAACCCGACCGGGCAGGCGCUCAUCAUCUCCACCGUGGCCGGGAUGGCCUACUUCAUCGUCGCCGACAAGACCAUCCUGUCCAUGGCCAGAAAGCACUCCUUCGACGACGCGCCAGACCACCUCAAGAACACCUCCUUCCACUAAUUAGACACUUGAUUAGCCAUGGCCCAAUAAACUGUGUACGCAGGCCCGUGGCAACGUGUCGGCUGAAACAUAGUAGUAUAAUGUUCAGCGACAGGGCCAGCAGGCGAGGCGACGAUGGUUGCAGUGCUGAAAGGUGGUGUUCAGCCCUUCAAUUUGUGCGAGCAAG